UUGCAAAUGAUAUUGAAUAGAUUCGGUACAAAGAAAAAAAGAAAUGGUCAAUGGAGACAACGGGUGCACGGGAGAGUAAAUACAUCUGACCACCAGCCAUUGCUUCUCCUACUACUCCCUUCGUCCUGAAUUAGACAAUUAAUUUAGGCUGAAGGUAAUAUUAUUUGACUUAUUAGUAUCCAUGCGCCUUAUGGCACGAUUUUAGCUGUGAGGUCGAUAAUGGUGGAACAAAAUGCAUGGGUGAAUCUCAGUAGGUCGCCUCUGGCUUGUAGGUGGUGCCGAUCUUGAAAUCUGUCGGGACAACAUCGUCGAAGACGUUGCGCUGGCCCUUCUGGGUCUCGUAGCGGAAGCUGUAGGGGCCCUCGAGGGACUUGUCGCUCUUGAUCUCCCACGCGCCGCUGUAGCCCUUUUUCAGGGGCAGCCAGUCCUCCUUCUGCUUCAGCUCCACCUCCUUCAUGCUGUCGCCAUCCUUGUCGUACUUGAUCUGCAGCACCAAAUGCUUCGGGUCCGACCCCUUCUCCAUCGUGAAGCACACCGGCGGCGGCGCGCACCACGCCACGGCCACCAGGGCCGCCACCACCACCGCUACUAGCAUCCUGCUCGAUGAAGUCAUCGCCGCUUGGUUGGUUGAUUGAUUCUUGUGUAAUCGAGUAUUGAUCAAAUGUUGUUUAUGGCUCUAUAAUAGAUGGAUGGUGGGUGUGGUGUCAUACCCUAUUUAUGGAUGGUCUGGCGGUACUCUGUCUAUGUCGCUCGCAGGCCCCGGGGCAUAGAGAGCCCCUUAUGCAUGCACGGUCAAGCUUGGUCACCACCGUGGCCGAUUUUCCGUCAGCCACCGGCAUCAGCGGAGCAUUUGUUUGUCGCAUGCAUGCCAUGUAUAUAUACACAUAGCGACAAAAAAACAUAAAAGUUGUGACGUCCCCGAUUCAAUCGUACAUUAAUCAUGCACGCAAACGUGUACGAUCAAGAUCAGGAACUCACGGGAAGAUAUCACAACACAACUCUAAAAACAUAAAUAAGUCAUACAAGCACCAUAAUACAAGGCAGGGGCCUCGAGGGCUCGAAUACAAGUGCUCGAUCAUAGACGAGUCAGCGGAAGCAACAAUAUCUGAGUACAGACAUAAGUUAAACAAGUUUGCCUUAAGAAGGAUAGCACAAACUGGGAUACAGAUCGAAAGAGGCGCAGGCCUCCUGCCUGGGAUCCUCCUAAACUACUCCUGGUCACCGUCAGCGGCCUGCACGUAGUAGUAGGCACCCUCGGUGUAGUAGGAGUCAUCGUCAACGGUGGCGUCUGACUCCUAGGCUCCAGCAUCUGGUUGAGAAAACCGAGAAGAAAGGAAAGGGAGGAAAGAGGGAGAAAAGCAACCGUGAGUACUCAUCCAAAGUACUCGCAAGUAAGGAUCUACACUACAUAUCCAUGGGUAUCAGUGUAAAAGGGCAAUAUUGAUGGACUAAACUGCAGAAUGCUAGAAUAAGAGGGGGGUAGCUAGUCCUAUCGAAGACUACGCUUCUGGCAGCCUCCAUCUUGCAGCAUGUAGAAGAGAGUAGAUGGUAAGUUCACCAAGUAGCAUCGCAUAGCAUAAGCCUACCCAGCGAUCCUCCCCUCGUCGCCCUGUGUGAGAGCGAUCACCGGGUUGUAUCUGGCACUUGGAAGGGUGUGUUUUAUUAAGUAUCCGGUUCUAGUUGUCAUAAGGUCAAGGUACAACUCCGUCGUCCUGUUACCGAAGAUCACGGCUAUUCGAAUAGAUAAACUUCCCUGCAGGGGUGCACCACAUUACCCGACACGCUCGAUCCCCUUUGGCCGGACACACUUUCCUGGGUCAUGCCCGACCACAGAAGAUUAACACGUCACAGCCCCACCUAGGCACAACAGAGAGGUCAGCACGUCGGUCUAAAUCCUAUGCGCGCAGGGGUCUGGGCCCAUCACCCAUUGCACACCUGCAUGUUGUGUGGGCGGCCGGAAGCAGACCUAGCCUCCCUAAUACAAGAGUAGGUGUUCCAGUCAAAUCCGGCGCGCGCUACUCAGUCACUGACGUCACGAAGGCUUCGGCUAAUACCACGACGCCGAUUGCCCAUAUCUUGUCCCACGUGGCGGUUAGUGCGCAUAAGGUCAAUGACCCAACUCAGAUAAAAUACCAAGAUCUCGUUAAGCGUGUUAUUAUGAAGUAACCGCGGACGCCGACCAGGGCCAGGCCCACCUCUCUCCUAUGUGGUCUCAACCUGCCCUGUCGCUCCGCCACAAAGUAACAGUCGGGGGCCGUCGAGAACCCAGGCCCACCUCUACCGGGAUGGAGCCACCUGCCCCUUCAGCCCCCAUCUCCGAACAAUAUCAUAAUUAAUGUAACUGUAUAAAGUAUAUAGCAUAUGCCCGUGAUCACCUCCCGAAGUGAUCACGGCCUAGUAGUAUAGCAUGGUAGACGGACAAGAGUGUAGGGCCACUGAUGGAACACUAGCAUCCUAUACUACGCAUUUAGGAUUGCAGGUAAGGGUAACAACUAUAGCAACAGUGACAGGCUAUGCAGCAGAAUAGGAUUAACCGAAAGCAGUAACAUGCUACACUACUCUAAUGCAAGCAGUAGAGAGAAGGAAUAGGCGAUAUCUGGUGAUCAAAGGGGGGCUUGCCCGGAAGCUUAGCCGAGAAGGAGGGGUCGCCAACACCGUAGACGUACUGGGUAGUAGUGGCGUCGGUCUCAUAGUCUACCGGAGAGAAGAGGGGGAAGAAACAAUAAAUAUAAUGCAAACAUAAGCAUGACGAUGCAUGACAUGACAAUGAGCGGUGCUAGGUGUUCCCUAACACAGUAGGAGGUGAUACCGGCGAAGGGGGAAAACAUCCGGGAAAGUAUUCCCAGUGUUUCACGUUUUUGGACAGAUGAACCGGAGGGGUAAAGUUACGUGUUCGCUAUGCUAGAUAUGUGUGGCGGAUGAACGGGCUACGUAUCUGGAUUCGUCUCGUUGUUCUGAGCAACUUUCAUGUACAAAGUAUUUUCAGCCGAGCUAUGGAUUAUUUUAUAUUAAUUUGUAAAGAUUUAAUUCUUUUUUUGAAUUAACGGAAUUAAUUUAAUUAGAAAAUUGUAAUUAUGAUGUCAGCAUGAUGUCAAGAUGAUGUCAGCGGUCAACCAUCUGUUGACCUAGUUAAACUGAUGAGUGGGUCCCACUGUCAUUGGCUAUGAUUAUCUAAACAAAUUUAAUUUCAAUAAUUAGGUGAUUAGGUUAAUUAAUCAGUGUUAAUUAAGUUAAUUAAUUAAUUAAUUUUCUUUAUUUAUUUAUUUCCUUUUUAAAAACAUUUCAUAGGGGUGGGCCCCACAUGUCAAUGGCCCAGGCGGCCUUAGCGGGUACGUGGACAGGCGGGAUAUGGGGACCGUAGCAGAUGCGGGCGCUGCCCGGGCGUGGCGUCACCCGAGGGGGGGCGGAUCCGGCAAGGUGCCGGAGCAGGGAGGCUGAUGGCCACGGCGCCGGCCAGGCGGCCGGAACGGCGACCACCGAGCAACUACGGAGGUGCAGAGCGACGCGCGUGGGGGAUGAGCGGAGGCAGCCGCGUGGGCAGGUCAGUGCAACGCGGUGGCGGACGCCGGUGGAGCCGCGAGCGGCGGCGUGUGGGGAGGCGCAGGGUGUGGGUGAGGCACAGGCGCGAUCGGUGCGGUGUGUGCUGCGGCAAGGAGGGCGACUGCUGGCGCGGAGCUCGGGCGGCAGCAGCAGUAAGCGCCGCGGGAGGACGGAUGCGGCGUGCAGGGUCGGGGUGCGGCAGGGGAGCAGGGCGGGAUGCGGCCAGGAGGUGGUGGGAGCUAGCGGGUGGCUUGGCCGCGGCAGGAGGCAGAGCAGAGCGGGGGAAGCAGGGGUGGGCCGGAGCGAGCGGGCGCGGCCAGGGUUAGAGCGGGGAGGCGCGGUGGCUGCGACCAGAGGCCAGGGGGUCCUACACAUUUUUUGUUUCCUUUGUUUGUUUGUUUUUACUUUUCUUUUCCUUAUCUUAUUUCUUUUCUGUUUCUUUUAAUUCCUAUUUACAAUAGUUUCAUUAACAUACCAAAUUAAGUGGCACCUAAAUUGAUGUUACCAGCUAUGCCACUGUCACAUUAAUUUACUACCCAAACUAAAAACGGUUUUGUAAUUGUUCAAUAUUUAAAUAUCAUUUAAAUAAUAGUUUUACUGGUAUUUUAUUUACUAUAGUGCAUCUAAACACUUUUAUAAAAGUGUGGUUUCACCAACAUAAUUACUUAUGAUUUAUUUGACACGCUUAGUGCAUUUGAGUUUUAAUAUUUGAAAACUUCUAUUGUUUGACUUAAAUUCAAAUUUGAAUUUGAAUCUGUUUUUGAACUAACGCAAGAUUAACAACAGUAAUCGUGGUGACGUGGCAUCAUUAAUGUGGGAUUACUGUAGCCUAAUUAUUCGGGCGUCACAAAUCUCCUCUACUACAAGAAAUUCUAACGAAUCUUGUCGGUCUUGGUUGCUCUUCUCGAAGAGGUCGAUCCAUAGCGUUGACUUCUUCAUACCUAUGCACCAAUGCAUCAUGAUGAAGUUGUCGUCCUUUAUUCGGGAACUCCAUCGUACUUAUGAAAGAAUAAGGGGGUAUUCCGGGAGAAUGGACCUCUGCACGGUUGUCUAUCUGGUUGAUAACAUCGGGGGAGGUGGCGGAAAGUAUCUCUCAAAUUGAAACAUAAUAAUAUAUCGAGAGCAAAGUAGGAAGUAUUGGGGAACAUUGCAGAAAACAAAAAUUUUCCUACGGUUUCACCAAGAUCCAUCUAUGAGUUCAUCUAGCAACGAGUGAUUGGAUGCAUCUACGUACCUUGUAGAUCGCGAGCGGAAGCGUUCAAAGAACGGGGAUGAGGGAGUCGUACUCGACGUGAUCCAAAUCACCGGAGAUCCUAGCGCCGAACGGACGGCACCUCCGCGUUCAACACACCUACGGUCAGCGUAAUGUCUCCUCCUUCUUGAUCCAUCAAGGGGAAGGACAGGUUGAGGAAGAUGGCUCCAGCAGCAGCACGACGGCAUGGUGGUGAUGGAGCUGCAGUACUCCGGCAGGGCUUCGCCAAGCACUAUGGAGGAGGAGGAGGUGUUGGAGAGGGAGAGGGAGGCACCAAAGGCAAGGGGGUGAGAAGUCCUCCAUCUCCCCACUAUAUAUAGGAGGGCCAAGGGGGGGGCAGCCCUAGGAGAUCUAAUCUCCUAGGGGGUGCGGCCAAGGGGAGGAAUCCCUCCUCCCCAAGGCACCUAGGAGGUGCCUUCCCCUCCUAGGACUCUUCCUUUAGGGUUUCCCCCACCCUAGGCGCAUGGGCCCUAGGGGGAAGUGGCGCCCCAGCCCAUUUUGGGCUGGAUCCCUUCCCACUUCAGCCCAUGGGGCCCUCCGGGAUAGGUGGCCCCACCCGGUGGACCCUGGGACCCUUUCGGUGGUCCCGGUACAAUACCGGUGACCCCGAAACUUGUCCCGAUGCCCGAAAUAGUACUUCCUAUAUGUAAUUCUUUACCUCCGGACCAUUCCGAAACUCCUCGUGACAUCUAGGAUCUCAUACGGGACUCCGAACAACAUUCGGGUUACUGCAUAUACAUAUCCCUACAACCCUAGCGUCACCGAACCUUAAGUGUGUAGACCCUAUGGGUUCGGGAGACAUGUAGACAUGACCGAGAUCGCUCUCCGAUCAAUAACCAACAGCGGGAUCUGGAUACCCAUGUUGGCUCCCAGAUGCUCCUCGAUGAUCUCAUCGGAUGAACCACGAUGUCGAGGAUUCAAGCAACCCCGUAUACAAUUCCCUUUGUCAAUCGGUAUGUUACUUGCCCGAGAUCUGAUCGUCGGUAUCCCAAUACCUCGUUCAAUCUCGUUACCGGCAAGUCACUUUACUCGUACCGUAAUGCAUGAUGUCGUGACCAGACACUUGGUCACUUUGAGCUCAUUAUGAUGAUGCAUUACCGAGUGGGCCCAGUGAUACCUCUCCAUCAUACGGAGUGACAAAUCCCAGUCUUGAUCCGUGUCAACCCAACAGACACUUUCGGAGAUACCCAUAGUAUACCUUUAUAGUCACCCAGUUACGUUGUGACGUUUGGUAUACCCAAAGCACUCCUACGGUAUCCGGGAGUUACACGAUCUCAUGGUCUAAGGAAAAGAUACUUGACAUUGGAAAACUCUAGCAAACGAACUAUACGACCUUGUGCUAUGUUUAGGAUUGGGUCUUGUCCAUCACAUCAUUCUCCUAAUGAUGUGAUCUCGUUAUCAAUGACAUCCAGUGUCCAUAGUUAGGAAACCAUGACUAUCUGUUGAUCAACGAGCUAGUCAACUAGAGGCUUACUAGGGACAUGUUGGUGUCUAUUAUUCACACAUGUAUUACGAUUUCCGGAUAACACAAUUAUAGCAUGAAUAAAGACAAUUAUCAUGAACAAGGAAAUAUAAUAAUAAUGCUUUUAUUAUUGCCUGUAGGGCAUAUUUCCAACAGUCUCCCACUUGCACUAGAGUCAAUAAUCUAGUUACAUUGUGAUGAAUCGAACAUCCAUGGAAUUCUGGUGUUGAUCAUGUUUUGCUUUAGGGAGAGGUUUAGUCAACGGAUCUGCUACAUUCAGGUCCGUAUGUACUUUACAAAUAUCUAUGUAUCCAUCUUGAACAUUUUCACGAAUGGAGUUGAAGCGACGCUUGAUGUGCCUGGUCUUCUUGUGAAACCUGGGCUCCUUGGCAAGAGCAAUAGCUCCAGUGUUGUCACAGAAGAGUUUGAUUGGCCCCGACGCAUUGGGUAUGACUCCUAGGUCGGUGAUGAACUCCUUCACAAAAAUUGCUUCAUGCGCUGCCUCCGAGGCUGCCAUGUACUCCGCUUCACAUGUAGAUCCCGCCACGACGCUCUGCUUGCCACUGCACCAGCUUACUGCCCCACCAUUCAAAAUAUACACGUAUCCGGUUUAUGACUUUGAGUCAUCCAGAUCUGUGUCAAAGCUAGCGUCGACGUAACCCUUUAUGACGAGCUCUUCGUCACCUCCAUAAAUGAGAAACAUUUCCUUAGUCCUUUUCAGGUACUUCAGGAUAUUCUUGACCGCUGUCCAGUGUUCCUUGCCGGGAUUACUUUGGUACCUACCUACCAAACUUACGGCAAGGUUUACAUCAGGUCUGGUACACAGCAUGGCAUACAUAAUAGAACCUAUGGCUGAGGCAUAGGGGAUGACACUCAUCUCUUCUAUAUCUUCUGUCGUGGUCGGACAUUGAGCUGAGCUCAAUUUCACACCUUGCAACACAGGCAAGAACCCAUUCUUAGACUGAUCCAUAUUGAACUUCUUCAAUAUCUUAUCAAGGUAUGUGCUUUGUGAAAGACUUAUGAGGCGUCUUGAUCUAUCUCUAUAGAUCUUGAUGCCUAAUAUAUAUGCAGCUUCUCCAAGGUCCUUCAUUGAAAAACUCUUAUUCAAGUAGGCCUUAAUGUUGUCCAAGAGUUCUAUAUCAUUUCCCAUCAAAAGUAUGUCAUCUAUAUAUAAUAUGAGAAAUGCUACAGAGCUCCCACUCACUUUCUUGUAAACGCAGGCUUCUCCAUAAGUCUGUGUAAACCCAAACGCUUUGAUCAUCUCAUCAAAGCGAAUGUUCCAACUCCGAGAUGCUUGCACCAGCCCAUAAAUCGAGCGUUGGAGCUUGCAUACCUUGUCAGCAUUCUUAGGAUCGACAAAACCUUCCGGCUGCAUCAUAUACAAUUCUUCCUUAAGGAAACCAUUAAGGAAUGCCGUUUUGACGUCCAUUUGCCAUAUCUCAUAAUCAUAGAAUGCGGCAAUUGCUAACAUGAUUCGGACGGACUUUAGCUUCGCUACCAUUGAGAAAGUCUCAUCGUAGUCAACCCCUUGCACUUGUCGACAACCUUUAGUGACAAGCCGAGCUUUAUAGAUGGUCACAUUACCAUCCGCGUAUGUCUUCUUCUUAAAGAUCCAUUUAUUUUCUAUGGCUCGCCGCUCAACGGGUAAGUCAGUCAAAGCCCAUACUUCGUUUUCAUACAUGGAUCCUAUCUCGGAUUUCAUGGCUUCUAGCCAUUUGUCGGAAUCCGGGCCCGCCAUUGCUUCUUCAUAGUUCGAAGGUUCACCGUUGUCUAACAACAUGAUUUCCAAGACAGGGUUGCCGUACCACUCUGGUGCGGAACGUGUCCUUGUGGACCUUCGAAUUUCAGUAGGAGCUUGAUCAGAAGUAUCUUGAUCAUCAUCAUUAACUUCCUCUCUAGUCGGUGCAGGCACCUCAGGAACAUUUUCUUGAGUUGCGCCAUUAUCCGGUUCAAGAGGUAAUACUUCAUCAAGUUCUACUUUCCUCCCACUUACUUCUUUCGAGAGAAACUCUUUCUCUAGAAAGGACCCAUUCUUGGCAACAAAGAUCUUGCCUUCGGAUCUGAGGUAGAAGGUAUACCCAAUAGUUUCUUUAGGGUAUCCUAUGAAGACGCAUUUUUCCGAUUUGGGUUCGAGCUUUUCAGGUUGAAGUUUCUUGACAUAAGCAUCGCAUCCCCAAACUUUUAGAAACGACAGCUUAGGUUUCUUCCCAAACCAUAAUUCAAAUGGUGUCGUCUCAACGGAUUUCGACGGAGCCCUAUUUAAAGUGAAUGCAGCAGUCUCUAAAGCAUAGCCCCAAAAAGAUAGCGGUAAAUCGGUAAGAGACAUCAUAGAUCGCACCAUAUCUAAUAGAGUGCGAUUACGACGUUCGGACACACCAUUACGCUGAGGUGUUCCAGGCGGCGUGAGUUGUGAAACUAUUCCACAUUUUCUUAAGUGUGUACCAAACUCGUGACUCAAGUAUUCUCCUCCACGAUCUGAUCGUAGGAACUUGAUUUUCCUGUCACGUUGAUUCUCAACCUCACUCUGAAAUUCCUUGAACUUUUCAAAGGUUUCAGACUUGUGUUUCAUUAAGUAGAUAUACCCAUAUCUACUCAAGUCAUCAGUGAGGGUGAGAACAUAACGAUAGCCACCGCGAGCCUCAACACUCAUUGGACCGCACACAUCAGUAUGUAUGAUUUUCAAUAAGUUGGUUGCUCGCUCCAUUGUUCCUGAGAACGAGGUCUUGGUCAUUUUACCCAUGAGGCAUGGUUCGCACGUGUCAAAUGAUUCAUAAUCAAGAGACUCUAAAAGUCCAUCAGCAUGGAGCUUCUUCAUGCGUUUGACACCUAUGUGACCAAGGCGGCAAUGCCACAAGUAUGUGGGACUAUCAUUAUCAAUCUUACAUCUUUUGGUACUCACACUAUGAACAUGUGUAGCAUUACGCUCGAGAUUCAUUAAGAAUAAACCAUUCACCAUCGGAGCAUGACCAUAAAACAUAUCUCUCAUAUAAAUAGAACGACCAUUAUUCUCGGAUUUAAAUGAGUAGUCAUCUCGUAUUAAACGAGAUCCUGAUACAAUGUUCAUGCUCAAACUUGGCACUAAAUAACAAUUAUUGAGGUUCAAAACUAAUCCCGUAGGUAAAUGUAGAGGUAGCGUGCCGAUGGCGAUCACAUCGACCUUGGAACCAUUCCCGACGUGCAUCAUCACCUCGUCCUUUGCCAGUCUCCGCUUAUUCCGCAGCUCCUAUUUUUAGUUACAAAUGUGAGCAACCGCACCGGUAUCAAAUACCCAGGAUCUACUAUGAGUACUGGUAAGGUACACAUCAAUUACAUGUAUAUCACAUAUACCUUUCGUUUUGCCGGCCUUCUUGUCCGCUAAGUAUUUGGGGCAGUUCCGCUUCCAGUGACCACUUUCCUUGCAAUAAAAGCACUCAGUCUCGGUCUUGGGUCCAUUCUUUGGCUUCUUCUCGGCAGCUUGCUUGCCGGGCGCGGCAACUCCCUUGCCGUCCUUCUUGAAAGCUUUCUUACCCUUGCCCUUCUUGAACUUAGUGGUUUUAUUCACCAUCAACACUUGAUGUUCCUUUUUGACUUCUACCUCUGCUGAUUUCAGCAUUGCAAAUACUUCAGGAAUGGUCUUUUCCAUCCCCUGCAUAUUGAAGUUCAUCACAAAGCUCUUGUAGCUCGGUGGAAGCGACUAGAGGAUUCUGUCAAUGACCGCGUCAUCCGGGAGAUUAACUCCCAGCUGAGUCAAGCGGUUAUGUAACCCAGACAUAGUGAGUAUGUGCUCACUGACAGAACUGUUUUCCUCCAUCUUACAGCUGAAGAACUUGUCGGAGACUUGAUAUCUCUCGACCCGGGCAUGAGCUUGGAAAUCCAUUUUCAGCUCUUCGAACAUCUCAUAUGCUCCGUGUCUCUCAAAACGCUUUUGGAGCCCCGGCUCUAAGCUGUAAAGCAUGCCGCACUGAACGAGGGAGUAGUCAUUGGUACGAGCCUGCCAAGCGUUCAUAACGUCUUGUUCUGCAGGGAGAACAGGUGCGUCACCUAGUGGUGCUUGUAGGACAUAAUCUUUCUUGGCAGCUAUGAGGAUGAUCCUCAGGUUCCGGACCCAGUCCGUGUAGUUGCUGCCAUCGUCUUUCAGCUUGGUUUUCUCUAGGAACGCGUUGAAGUUGAGGACUACGUUGGCCAUUUGAUCUACAAGACAUAUUGUAAAAAAAUUAGACUAAGUUCAUGAUAAUUAAGUUCAUCUAAUCAAAUUAUAAUGAACUCCCACUUAGAUAGACAUCCCUCCUAUAAUCUAAGUAUAACAUGAUCCGAGUUAACUAGGCCGUGUCCGAUCAUCACGUGAGACGGACUACUCAACGUCGGUGAACAUCUUCAUGUUGACCGUAUCUUCUAUACGACUCAUGCUCGACCUUUCGGUCUUCUGUGUUCCGAGGCCAUGUCUGUACAUGCUAGGCUCGUCAAGUCAACCUAAGUGUUUGCAUGUGUAAAUCUGUCUUACACCCGUUGUAUGUGAACGUUAGAAUCUAUCACACCCGAUCAUCACGUGGUGCUUCGAAACAACGAACUGUCGCAACGGUGCACAGUUAGGGGGAACACUUUCUUGAAAUUCUUAUGAGGGAUCAUCUUAUUUACUACCGUCGUUCUAAGCAAACAAGAUGCAAAAACAUGAUAAACAUCACAUGCAAUCAAAUAAUAAUAGUGACAUGAUAUGGCCAAUAUCAAAUAGCUCCUUUGAUCUCCAUCUUGGGGCUCCAUGAUCAUCUUGUCACCGGCAUGACACCAUGAUCUCCAUCAUCAUGAUCUCCAUCAUUGUGUCUCCAUGAAAUUGCUCGCCAACUAUUACUUCUACUACUAUGGCUAACGCGUUUAGCAAUAAAGUAAAGUAAUUUACAUGGCGUUUCUCAAUGACACGCAGGUCAUACAAAAAAUAAAGACAACUCCUAUGGCUCAUGUCGGUUGUCAUACUCAUCGACAUGCAAGUCGUGAUUCCUAUUACAAUAGCAUGAACAUCUCAUACAUCACAUAUAGAUCAUUCAUCAUUCAUCACAACUUUGGCCAUAUCAUAUCACAAAGCACUUGCUGCAAAAACAAGUUAGACGUCCUCUAAUUGUUGUUGCAAGUUUUACGUGGCUGAAGUAGGGUUCUAGCAAGAACGUUUUCUUACCUACGUGAAAGCCACAACGUGAUUUGUCAACUUCUAUUUACCCUUCAUAAGGACCCUUUUCAUCGAAUCCGCUCCAACUAAAGUGGGAGAGACAGACACCCACCAGCCACCUUAUGCAACUUGUGCAUGUUAGUCGGUGGAACCGGUCUCACGUAAGCGUACGUGUAAGGUUGGUCCGGGCCGCUUCAUCCCACAAUACCGUUGAAGCAAGAUAAGACUAGUAGCGGCACGAAAGUUGACAACAUCAAUGCUCACAACAAAUUGUGUUCUACUCGUGCAAAAGGAACUACGCAUAGACCUAGCUCAUGAUGCCACUGUUGAGGAACGUUGCAGAAAACAAAAAUUUUCCUACGGUUUCACCAAGAUCCAUCUAUGAGUUCAUCUAGCAAUGAGUGAUUGGAUGCAUCUGUGUACCUUGUAGAUCGCGAGCGGAAGCAUUCAAAGAACGGGGAUGAGGGAGUCGUACUCGACAUGAUCCAAAUCACCGGAGAUCCUAGCGCCGAACGGACGGCACCUCCGUGUUCAACACACAUACGGUCAGCGUAACGUCUCCUCCUUCUUGAUCCAGCAAGGUGAAGGAGAGGUUGAGGAAGAUGGCUCCAGCAGCAGCACGACGGCGUGGUGGUGAUGGAGCUGAAGUACUCCGGCAGGGCUUCGCCAAGCACUAUGGAGGAGGAGGAGGUGUUGGAGAGGGAGAGGGAGGCACCAAAGGCAAGGGGGUGAGAAGUCCUCCAUCUCCCCACUAUAUAUAGGAGGGCCAAGGGGGGGGCGCCGGCCCUAGGAGAUUUAAUCUCCUAGGGGGGUGCGGCCAAGGGGAGGAAUCCCUCCUCCCCAAGGCACCUAGGAGGUGCCUUCCCCUCCUAGGACUCUUCCUUUAGGGUUUCCCCCACCCUAGGCGCAUGGGCCCUAGGGGGAAGUGGCGCCCCAGCCCAUUUUGGGCUGGAUCCCUUCCCACUUCAGCCCAUGGGGCCCUCCGGGAUAGGUGGCCCCACCUGGUGGACCCCCGGGACCCUUUCGGUGGUCCCGGUACAAUACCGGUGACCCCGAAACUUGUCCCGAUGCCCGAAAUAGUACUUCCUAUAUGUAAUUCUUUACCUCCGGACCAUUCCGGAACUCCUCGUGACAUCCGGGAUCUCAUCCGGGACUCCGAACAACAUUCGGGUUACUGCAUAUACAUAUCCCUACAACCCUAGCGUCACCGAACCUUAAGUGUGUAGACCCUACGGGUUCGGGAGACAUGUAGACAUGACCGAGAUCGCUCUCCGGUCAAUAACCAACAGCGGGAUCUGGAUACCCAUGUUGGCUCCCACAUGCUCCUCGAUGAUCUCAUCGGAUGAACCACGAUGUCGAGGAUUCAAGCAACCCCGUAUACAAUUCCCUUUGUCAAUCGGUAUGUUACUUGCCCGAGAUCUGAUCGUCGGUAUCCCAAUACCUCGUUCAAUCUCAUUACCGGAAAGUCACUUUACUUGUACCGUAAUGCAUGAUCCCGUGACCAGACACUUGGUCACUUUGAGCUCAUUAUGAUGAUGCAUUACCGAGUGGGCCCAGUGAUACCUCUCCAUCAUACGGAGUGACAAAUCCCAGUCUUGAUCUGUGUCAACCCAACAGACACUUUCGGAGAUACCCGUAGUAUACCUUUAUAGUCACCCAGUUAUGUUGUGACAUUUGGUAUACCCAAAGCACUCCUACGGUAUCCGGGAGUUACACGAUCUCAUGGUCUAAGGAAAAGAUACUUGACAUUGGAAAACUCUAGCAAACGAACUAUACGACCUUGUGCUAUGUUUAGGAUUGGGUCUUGUCCAUCACAUCAUUCUCAUAAUGAUGUGAUCUCGUUAUCAAUGACAUCCAAUGUCCAUAGUCAGGAAACCAUGACUAUCUGUUGAUCAACGAGCUAGUCAACUAGAGGCUUACUAGGGACAUGUUGGUGUCUAUUAUUCACACAUGUAUUACGACUUCCGGAUAACACAAUUAUAGCAUGAAUAAAGACAAUUAUCAUGAACAAGGAAAUAUAAUAAUAAUGCUUUUAUUAUUGCCUCUAGGGCAUAUUUCCAACAGGAAGGUCGCAUGAGAAGUUCCGAGCGGGCAUGCAAUCGCUCGUUGCCUGAAACCGAGUGUGAAAAGGGGUUUAGAGCAACGAGAACAAGUAUUGCGUCUGAUACCAGAAUAGAUCACUAGGAAGGUGGCUCAUGAAUUACCUAUGAAACCAAGAGUGAGGAGUAACUUUGGAAACAGGGUGUACAGGAGAGUCAGGUUUUGAUCCUGUGGGACUGUGGGUUAUGGGCCCACCAUGUGGGUUAAGUAGGAAGGGCGAUGACAUCUUGCACGAUCAUGUAAGCAAGGCAUGUCAGAGGAUAGUCUGUCGGUUAUGUCGGCAACAACAUCGGUACCAAGGACGAGGGACGAAGAGAACCAUUUUCCUGCUCAUUGAACGAGGCAGGCCAAUAGGCAAAGUUCUCGUCCAUCGGCGGUUAUCGGAAUGUCAUCAACAAUAGAAACAGGGUCUCACUAACAGAGUUGUACACCGAGGUGCUUACAUAAGCAGUGAAUUAUUGUUGCUUAGGUUAUAUAGAUCACAAGAAAGGUCAAACAAACCAAUGGGAAGGAAAAUUUGAUCAUUAGGUUAAACAGAACAAUGGAAAGGAAAUGUGUUUAAACACAUAUUUCAGGGGUAUAUCCUUCCCAAGGAUAAGCAGAACAUGAUAUCUAUGACAGGAUAUAACAUAGAAAACCCUUUAGGUAAGGGGAAAGGAAGUUCAUGACAUUAUCAAAACAACGGUGUUUGAAUAAUUGACAAAUAAAAUUUAGCAUGGUGCUUCAAAAUGUCCUUAUCGAUGAUCAGAGUACCACAGACAUGCCUUGAGAUAACAUUGACAUGGUCAUCAAGUAAGGUUCGGAAUUUGGAUGCACGAAGGAUCCAUCAGGAACAACUUGUAGAAUAAGUUUUACAAUUUCCUCAUGGAAGAAUGGAUAUCUUUGCUAAAAAGGAAGCUAUAACAAUAGGGCCUCCAGCCAGGUGUGUUAGGCAUGACAUCACCUUACCGGGUCACAUAAAGACGAAUGUUAUAACUCUUGGAAAUAUGUUCCAACCAUCAUAUAUAUCUGACCGAGAUUCAGAUCUGAUUGGUGUCAGGAUAACUCAGACUCAUGAUGCCCGAGAAGGAAAGGGGGCAACACAAUUUGACAAGAUGGAGUUGCAAGAUUCUUGGGAAAUGGACUAUGGAAGCAAGUUCCAAAUCAUGAGUUCAUCAUUAAACCAAUGACAGGAUGAGGAGGUGGCUGAUGAACUCAGCGACAAUUCAUUGAGAUUUCCAAAAGAUUGAUUUCGAUAGUUAUGUGAACAAGGAGAUAACAUUUGUCGGAUCAAAUGAUAUAAUGAGGUAUACUCGACGAAAACAUACACAAUUAAACAUUGGUUGAAAGGUGCACCCAAAAUACGGGCUUAGGUAGCAUGAUCAAUGUUAGAAUGGUGAUUCGAUAACCAAUGGUCUAAGAAUGAAAUGUCGACCAUUAACUUCAAAGCAAUAAGGUUGCUAGAACUUUUAAAAAUUACUAGUCCAUCUAUCGGUAUUCCUGUUAGGAACAACACGGGGACCAAGAAAGAAUGGUGAUCGUGAGAAGUAUCACUAUACCAAGAAUUCUUAAGAGGUGGAGUAAUCCUCAUGACAUUCUUGACAUAAAAGAUGGUAAUACUCCAAGGUAAGAAGAACAAAUGUUGGAUAGCAAGGAACUCAAGGUAUAACACAGAACACGAAAAAGUUUGUGUUGGAGGGAAGGCAAUAAAGUGGUCGAUGACAACACAAAUCAUCGAGGGCAAGGGUGGUAUUUCUCAUCAUGAAUUCAAUUGAUAUCUUGGAAGAGCUCCGAAUGCUGAUGAUGAUCACAACACAUUUGUCAAGAGAUUUCAUGAAGAUGUAAUCGAUCGGCGAUGAAAACAAGUGAAAGGAAUGAUGAAGCGAAAGGUUAUUGGAACCAUGGGUACGACACAAACUCGAAAUCAAGUUUGCUAUUCAAGGAGAAAUCAUAUGACGAGGAAGCUCGACAUAAGAUUAGCUCAUCGUCUAAAUUUGUGCUCCGAAAAGAAGGAACAUGUAGCACAAUUAAAAUUAGCACGAUCAUGAACUAACCGAUCGGGCUAGGAGUGACGUGAUGGAGUAUUAAACGUCUCAACAACAAAGUACUAGGAGUACUGAAUCACAGUGUUAACUCAAUUCACUAAUCGGUGUUCUCGGUUGACGACAACCCAGAACCCCUGGAGUGACUAUGACGCGGAAAGCUACUACUUCAUCAGAAAUUCAUAACAUGUAGUGCAAUGGGGGUGAUAUCCUCGAGAUAUUAGGGGGUAAUACUCGAAGGUAGAUCAAAAUAGAGGUUGGGCAGGCGUACUGAUCUAAGAAGGCAAGUAUUUUACUCGUCUGAGAAAUGGGACCAAAGAAAGACAAUAUGGUCGAAACCACGAUUGCAAAAGACCAAAUCAGAUAUAUAAUAUGAACUUAUACCAACAGAAUAAUUAAUUUAAGAGAAGUUUCCAUGAUAAGAUCUACAUCGUGUCCAUGGGAAUGAACACAAAGUUCAAGGUCGACUCCCACUUAUCCAAUGCAUAAUCAUUAAUUCACCUCUCGUAUUUCAAGAAUGACCUUAGUUGUUGAAAGUUUACCUGGUGCAAUACUAGAUAAGUAUGACCCGUGAAAUCUUUCGGGUUCAGACAGAUUAGGGAAGGCGUUGGUUCAACCCAUCGGGGCAUAUUAGGAACAGAUACCACAAACGUCGGAGUAAAUAGUACAUGCUCGAAAGUAGAGUAUGGUUAUCAAAGCAAAGAAUACAAAUUGCCAAAGGCAUUAUAUAUCAAGGAAAGAACUUCUCAAUGUUUUUGUAUACGAAGGGCACUAUCGGAUGAUAUUUCAACAAAGGAUCUGACGGUCCAUAGCGAAGCUGAUGUGAGUAUCGACACACAACCAGAGGAAGAAACAAUGUGAAGGCAUUGGAUUAUAGAAGCAACCACUACAAGAAAUAUGUCAACUAGUGAUCUUCUGGCAGUGACCCUGGAAGAAUUGGUCAUAGAUCUAUGACCAUUUGAGACCAAUUGGUCAAAAGUUGUUCGGGGGGCUCCAAACGCUAAACUAUAUCGACCAUUUUGGUUAAAAAGGUCAUAAUUUUCUUACACGAAAUGGUCACAAAGCAGACAGCACUAGUCUGCUGGCUUAUUUCUAGCUGGUCAUGACCAGUAUAGAUGGUCAUAACCUUGUAAGUUGUGGUGGAUUCUUAUGACUAGGCGCCACCUCAUCAGUUUUACCUAUGUGUCAUGUCCAUGUGUCAAUUUUUGCCCUAGGCUGUGAAGCAACCUAUAUUUCUGUCAUUCCCAAAAUUCCCAAAAAAAUUGGGCAUUCUUUACUAUCCAAAUCAUUGCCUCAUGACAAUAUUCAACUCCAUUUGCCUGGUAAAUCUUCCUCGGCAAAUUUCCAAAGUUUUUGUUCAACUCGAACUGUUGUGAAGGAAGUACUAUCUAGGCAUAUCCUAAUGAGCUGAAUUUUUUCCGCAUCUUCUAUAUUCCCAAAUCAUAGCUCUCCACAAAAUUUGAGCCCCAUCUAACAAUACAUGUGAGUGUGGCUUCAACAUUCAUAUUUUUGUCCAGUGUGGUACGUUGCAAAGCAAGUGACACCUAGGCUCCUCCAUUUGAGCUGCAAAAUUUCCAAGAUAGUGUCCUUAGUAGAUGAUCAUCCUCGGCCAAAACUCAGGACCAUUGGCCAUGUGCAUUUCCCGUAACACUAAUCAAACACUUGGGUGCUAAUUCAUGUUUGAGCAUUGUUCGGUCUCCUCGUGAGAUUCUUCUGUUGUAAUUUUCUUCCAAGCAUCUACGUGGGGAGUGCCAAACCUACUAGACAUGCCUAGGCUUCCCAGAACGCAUGGCAACACCACGGUCACGCGGUGACCACGCGGCGGGCAUGCGAGUCUACGCGCUUUGGAGUUGGGGCCCUGGGCCACCUUCCAAACCUCAGCGUAUCACCACCAAACCAUGUAUUUAUGAUUAAAUAGAUACUUAUGUACAUAGAAAUGAUUUUUGGAAAAAAUAAAGAGCAAACUAUAAGGCAGUUGCAGUUCAAAUUUGACUCGCUUCCUACUGAAUCGGCGGAAAUUUGUCUUUUUCACCGGAGGUGGAUAAUUUUUUUUACACCCAACCACUUUGUCAAUUGUGCAUUAAAUAUGGCCUAGUAUUUUAUAAAAUUGAUUUGGUCCGUUUUUGCAACAAUUAUAUGGUAGUUCCUUCACAAAAAAACCUCAUUUCGGGCACUCAAGAAAUGGAAAAUGAAUUUUCCAUGCAAAGAAAAUGAAAACUCCCUUAGGAAACAUUGUUUGGAAUUCUAAUAUGCACCCUUGUGCACAAUAUGAGAUCAUUCGAACAAACUAUGCCAUGAAUGUGACCAUAAGAUUGAUCAUUUGGCUUGAAAGCCAUGAAUCUUCACGCAUGAUAGCUCAUUUCUAAGAACACUUUUUAAAAAGAAUUGUCAUAUUACAAGUUUAUUAUUUUUCUUGGAAACUUGGUCACAUAUGAUGACACAAUGCGAAGGUUUUCCAAUUUUUUGAAUUUUUUUGAAUUUUUUAUACCCGUUUCAAAAUGCGGUCAAAACGACGGGCUUGACCGUUCCUAGCUAGUUGUUGAAUCUUGGAAACCUUUUGAUGUUUCUCUGAUUAAAUAGAUAGUUAUGUACCUAGAAAUGAUUUUUGGAAAAAAUAAAGAGCAAACUAUGAGGCAGCUACAGUUCAAAUUUGACCCGCUUCCUACUAAAUCGGCGGAAAUUUGUCUUUUUCACCACAGGUGGAUCAAGGCUUUUGACACCCAACUAUUGUGUCAAUUGUGCAUUAAACAUGGCCUAGUAUUUUAUAAAAUUGAUUUGGUCCAUUUUUACAACAUUUAUUUGGUAGUUCCUUCACAAAAAAACCUUAUUUCAGGCACUCGAAAAAUGAAAAAUGAAUUUUCCGUGUAAAUAAAAUGAAAACUCCCUUAGGCAACAUUGUUUGCCAUUCCAAGAUGCACCCUUGUGCACAAUAUGAGAUCAUUUGAACAAACUAUGCCAUGGAUGUGGCCACAAGAUUAAUCAUUUGACUUGAUAGCUCAUUUCUGAGAACACUUUUGUAAAAGAAUUGUCGUAUUACAAGUUUAUUAUUUUUCCUGCUAACUUGGUCACAUAUAAUGACACAAUGCGAAGGUUUUCCAAUUUUUUGAUUUUUUUUUAUUUUUUUAUGCCUGUUUCAAAAUGCGGUCAAAACGGCGGGAAUGACCGUUCCUAGCUAGUGGUUGAAUCUUGGAAUUUUUUUGGUGUUUCUCUGAUUAAAUAGAUACUUUUGUACCUAGAAAUGAUUUUUGGAAAAAAUAAAUAAUAAACUAUGAGGCAGCCACAGUUCAAAUUUGACCCGCUUCCUACUGAAUCGGCAGAAAUUUGUGUUUUUCACUAGAGGUGGAUCAAAACUUUUUACACCCAACCAUUUGGUCAAUUGUAAAUUAAAUAUGGCCUAGUAUUUUAGAAAAAUGAUUUGGUCCAAUUUUGCAACAAUUAUUUGGUAGGUUCUUCACAAAAAUACCUCAUUUGGGGCACUCGAAAAAUGGAAAAUGAUUUUUUUGUCCAAAGAAAAUGAAAAUUUCCUUAGGCAACAUUGUUUUCCAUUCCAAUAUGCACCCUUUUGAACAAUAUGAGAUCCUUUGAACAAACUAUGCCAUGAAUGUGGCCAUAAGAUUGAUCAUUUGGCUUGAAAGCCAUUGAUCUCCACACAUGAUAGCUCGUUUCUGAGAACACUUUUUAAAAAGAAUUGCCGUAUUACAAGUUUAUUAUUUUUACUGGUAACUUGGUCACAUAUAAUGACACUAUGCGAAGGUUUUCCAAUUUUUUUAUUUUUUUAAAUUUUUUAUGCUCGUUUCAAAAUGGGGUCAAAACGGCGGGCAUGACCGUUCCUAGAUAGUGGUUGAAUCUUGGAAUUUUUUUGUGUUUCUAUGACUAAAUAGAUACUUAUGUACCUAGAAAUGAUUUUUGCAAAAAAUAAAGAGCAAACUAUGAGGCAGCUGUAAUACAAAUUUUACCCGCUUUCUACUGAAUCGGCAAAAAUUUGUCUUUUUCAUGAGAGGUGCAUCGAAACUUUUGACACCCAACCAUUUGGCCAAUUGUGCAUUAUAUAUGGCCUAGUAUUUUAGAAAAUUGUUUUGGUACAAUUUUGCAACAAAUAUUUGGUAGGUUCUUCAAAAACAACCUCAUUUGGGGCACUCGAAAAAUGGAAAAUGAUUUUUUCGUCCAAAGAAAAUGAAAAUUUCCUUAGGCAACAUUGUUUUCCACUCCAAUAUGCACCCUUUUGCACAAUAUUAGAUCAUCUGAACAAACUAUGCCAUGAAUGUGGCCAUAAGAUUGAUCAUUUGGCUUGAAAGCCAUUGAUCUCCACACAUGAUAGCUCGUUUCUGAGAACACUUUUUAAAAAGAAUUGUCAUAUUACAAGAUUAUUAUUUUUACUGGUAACUUGGUCACAUAUAAUGACACAAUGCGAGGGUUUUCCAAUUUUUUGAUUUUUAUUUUAUUUUUUAUGCUCGUUUUAAAAUGGGGUCAAAACAGCGGGCAUGACUGUUCCUAGAUAUUGGUUGAAUCUUGGAUUUUUUGUGUUUCUAUGAUUAAAUAGAUACUUAUGUACCUAGAAAUUAUUUUUGCAAAAAAUAAAGAGCAAACUAUGAGGCAGCUGCAGUACAAAUUUUAUCCGCUUUCUGCUGAAUCGGCGGAAAUUUGUCUUUUUCAUGAGAGGUGCAUCGAAACUUUUGACACCUAACCAUUUGGUCAAUUGUGCAUUAUAUAUGGCCUAGUAUUUUAGAAAAUUGUUUUGGUACAAUUUUGCAACAAAUAUAUGGUAAGUCCUUCACAAAAAAACUUAUUUUGGGCACUCAAAGGAAAAAUGAUUUAAAAGAACUCAUUUCUCAUAACUCUUAUUUCAAUUUGUGAUUAUUCCUAAAAACUAAAGUCAAAUUUGCUGACGCAAUGAGAAGUUUUUUUUCAAAUUUUCAGGUCAUAAUAAAAUAGCUAACAUGAUUUAGCACCUUACUUUUAGUCGAUUACGACCAAUUUAAAUGGUCAAAAUAUCACACCUUGUAUACUGUGUUCUGAUUGGUCCAGAGGCCUCUCACGCGGAUCGUGGAUAAAUCACCGUCAGAUGUUGCUGGAUCCAACGGCCCGCACGUCACCGGUCUCACCCACGUCCCGCACUCCUCCUCUCGCACCCUUCUCUCCCACGCACUGCCGCCCCUCUCUCCUCUCCCUCACUCUGAUCUGAUCUGAAUCCACCGCCGCCCACCAUCGCCCACCCCCACCGCCGCCCACCCCCANNNNNNNNNNNNNNNNNNNNNNNNNNNNNNNNNNNNNNNNNNNNNNNNNNNNNNNNNNNNNNNNNNNNNNNNNNNNNNNNNNNNNNNNNNNNNNNNNNNNNNNNNNNNNNNNNNNNNNNNNNNNNNNNNNNNNNNNNNNNNNNNNNNNNNNNNNNNNNNNNNNNNNNNNNNNNNNNNNNNNNNNNNNNNNNNNNNNNNNNNNNNNNNNNNNNNNNNNNNNNNNNNNNNNNNNNNNNNNNNNNNNNNNNNNNNNNNNNNNNNNNNNNNNNNNNNNNNNNNNNNNNNNNNNNNNNNNNNNNACUGUCGACGACCCUCACCAUCGAGCCCACGCCCAGACACGUGCUGGACGCAGCAGGAUUCACCCGUGAACCCCACCGGCGACCUCCUACUCUCCCCCAACCUCACCGCCGGCUGCCCCUUACCUCUCCGCCCAGAUCGACUCGAUCCGCUCAUCUCGUGGCCAGAUCCAGUAGUAAUCCCUCCUUCCCACCUCCCUGCCUCUGGAUUGAGCAGGCACCGCCGCCCCCACCCCCACUCCCUCCCUCCAGAUCGAGCAGGCCGGCUUGGGGAGGCUGGCGUUCCCCGUCGAGAUCCGUCGCGCGCCUCCAGCGCCAACCGCGACUGGCUCCCAUCACUAGGGUUUCGCUCGGUGUGGCUCCGAUGACUCAAGUGCGUCCAUCUACUCCAUCUCCUCCUCACAACCAUUCCUAACUUCCUCAGUUUGUCGUCUCUGCCUCCCAGAUCUAGGAUGUCGUCCUCGCUCGAGCACCGGGACGUCAUGGACGAUGGCUGCUUCUUCCCCUGCCCCGGCACCAUAGAGCAGCUCCGUGCGUCCGCGUUCUUCUUCUCGGGAUUCCUACCCCCGGCCAUGGGCCAUGGCGAACGAGUAGCUCCAACCGCAGGGCUCAAAGGUAUGAAUCCCUUUCUCCUCCCCUCGUCUUUUCUUCUUCCGCUCUCUGUCUGACCCCCUUCUCAUCUCUCUUUCGAACCUAGACAUCACCAUGGGAGAUGAAGGCAUGAUGUGUUGUGCUGCUGCUCGGGAGGGACGCCAUGGACCUCCCUCCUCUGCUUCUUCUCUUCCCCUACUCAAGGUGAUGGAUUGGUACAGUGACCUACUCCCUGCUUCCUAUGUUAAUUUGGUGUGCGAUGUGGAUGUGAUGUAUUUUAGGCAUGAUUAAAUACGUGUUUUGGCACAAUUCCAUGUACAAUUCCUUCUCAAGGUGCUGGUGUUUGUGGAGGUGAUUUACCUCUUUUUCACUCUGUGUAUCAAGGUGCAGAUGUUGAGCAUUGAUAGGUGUUGUUCGGUGUACGUGUGUAUCCUCUAGUAGUUUGUCUCAUAUAUGAUGUUGUCUGGCUGCCAUGUUGCUGUCGUGUCUGACUAUUGGACGAUCAAAACAGAGAUUUGUAAUUUACAAACUACAUGUGUGUUGACACUAUUGAGAUGAUGAUCACUUCAACUUGCAUAGGUUUUGCUUGUGAGUGUGUGGGAUUCAUUUCAUGCAUGGUUCAUCAGUGUACAUGUUUUUGCCUUGUUUUUCAGCUCUUCAAAUCCGCUGGAAGGAUCCCUUGCCUGAAGUGUAUUCUUUCUUUAGAGGUAGCGGGUCAAACGUUCCGUGUGUAUGUUUGACUUUGAAUGUUGCAAUGCGUUUCAGUUACAGUGUAUAGUACCUUUGUAAUUCACUGUAAACAUGAAGUUGACUGAUGCUCUAUCUGUGUUUCUGGUUUGCCAAAUCUCACAUAGAUGGGUCUCCCUAGUUUCAUGACUGCUAUUUAGGACUAAGUGCUCCAUAAGUGUUGCUGAAAAUGAAAAUGCAGUUAAUUAUAGCACAGUGAGAGUGCUCUCAAAUGUUAGAAGGGUUGCUACUGCAUUUACGCUCCCGCCAGUGUCCUGCAUUGACUGAUGGUGCAGCCAUAUACCCCUGCCAGUACCUGAUUGUUCUCACUCAUUAUUGUGCAGCAGCGCAUGCUUGUUCAUACCCAUUUUUUUCAAUUAAUGCCAACAUGUACAUAUUUACACAGGAGAUAUAGCUAGAUUUUCCGACUAACAAGUGACAAUAAAAAUGUCGUUGUUUUAACCUAGAGGUUAAUAAAACACUUUGAUAGUUUUGCCCUGAGCAUUUUUGUCAGUUUGCAGUUACUUGUGCUGAGAUACUAGUAUCUUUUUAUAGCCAGAAAAUGUGUUGUGUAUUUCUUGUCCAGAGUAUAAUAUUCCAUCUCCACAGCAAGCAAGAUGUUAUUUCUAGUGCUAGCCUUUUGUUGUAUUGAAGUAUUGUAUAUAGUAGGUGCACUUUGUCUUUAGAGAUAGCAAUCAGGAGUAAUGCAGUCACUUCUGUUGCAUACUUGCUCUAGCUGCAAGUACUUGGAAACUAUUAUUACGUAUAUUUUUGGAUGAGCUAUCGCAUAUCGUGUGUGUUGCAUGGAUGCCACAAUAAAUCCAUUGUUUUGUUUUAUCAUUAUGCUGCAUAUGUUUCCAACUCCACUAUUUCUGUUUUUCUUUAUCACCUUAUCCAACAUUGUAGAUUCCUGUAUUGAUGCAUGCCAACUAUGAAAAGAUCUUGUAUUAAGCUUUAGCUGGCUGUUAAUUAUGUUGUGUUAGCUGCUGACUAACAACGGCCUGUGGCGACUGGGUGUUUUUUUGGCGCAGGUGACUUGUACACAAAGCUGUAUGAUCAGCUGGGUGGUCACAAUCAGCGCAGGAGAGCCUGCACCUUGAAGUUGGUUUUUUUCCAACUAUACUAUGGUAUGAGCCUGGACCAUGGUUGUGAUGUGGUCUUGAUGUAUGAGCCUACUUUUCCUAUUUCUUGCUAUUUUAGGAUAUCAUGUCUGAUUUCAAUGUUGGGUCAACCGAGUUGUUGAUUUUCUCGCCCUGGUCAUACCAUAAUAUGUUAGUGUUUAGUCAUGUAUGCAUCUCCAUCUUGCAAGCCUGCCAUACAUGAUAGGAUUAGUACUUAUUAACUACUCAUGUGCUUGUAGAGAAGGAUAGAAUUAUUAUUUAACCAGCCCAGAUUUUUUACAUUUGAUGUGCUUCCAAGGGACACAGAUCUCUACUCUUCAAUAUAAUCCACACUUUGUUCCUGAAGCAGUUAGUUGUAGCAUGCUGUUACAUCACAACAAAGUGUCAUGUAUGAUUAUAGUGCUUUUGUUGAGAUGUCCGGUACUUAAUAAAAUUGAAGUUAAAAUAGAACCUUUAUGUUCUUUGUAGUGAUUUACAGUUGGUGCUAUAAGUUUUCUGAACUUGAAUAUCUUAGUAGAACAUCAUCAGGUUAGAAGUUUUGCUAUGCCAUGCUUAGUGUUUACUGAACUAAGGCAUUUGGGCAUUUAUGUAUAACUUUUAUUCUCUUGAAUGGAUAUAUUUUAUUGUCAAUCAUUUAACUUCCACUGUAUCUCACUACAAAUUUAUGUAGAUUAGUAUGUAAUGUCAUCGAGGUGGUUGCUGCUCUUACCGAAGAUUAGAAGAAUCCUAGAGAUGUGCACCAUAGUUUUAGUUGAUGUUGCCACCAUGUUUUAGUGCCUGUGUAUUUGUUUUUGAUUGUAUGUACACUUGUUGGAUCGUGCAAACAUGUAUGUGCUGUUGUGAGUUUCAUUGAGAAAUUUCUGUAUUUGAUCAUUUAAUUGAGAGAAUUAUUGAUUAUUUGCUGUUGAAAUGUGUAAAAUUAAAAUCUAUGAAUGAAAAGGAUUGAAUGUUCUACUGGGUCGUAUAAUAUUUGGGCUCUAAAAAGGCUAUGGCCCAAACAAUAGUGGGCUGGAAUAUUCUGCAUUUAUGAAAAACCGGUAACAAAAGGCUUAAUGAAACGGACUGUGAAAUGGCCUAGGCCCAGAAAAUAAAAAGGCUGAAUUGUAGGGCUUGGCCCAUAUAGCUGACCAAAAUUAAUAAGAAAAAAUAUAUAAAAAAGCUGAAUUGUUGGGCUAAACACCCAAUUGGACUGGGCUGAUUCUAAUUUUUGACCUUCUCAGUUGGUCGCAAUUUUGCCACGUCAGAUUGCCACGCCGGAUCCGACGUGGCUUGGGCAGACAGCCAGCGACCAAAAUAGAAGGUCAUAGAAUCCAUGACCUUUUGUUUUGGUCGUGGCCUUCCACGACCUUCUCACAAAGAAGGUCGUUAAUUUCAGUUUAUGAGAAGGUCGUUAAUUUCAGUUUACGAUCGCCAGCUUUUGACCUUCUAUUUUUGGUCAAAAAAAGGUCACAAAUGAAAAUCAGUGACCUUUCAGUGACCAAUAGUGAGGGUCACAAGUUGGCAUAUAUCUUGUAGUGAACUGGCUAAUUCAAAUCCCACAGGUAAAGGAAUUAUGAUUUCCAAAUCCAAGGAUCAGAAGCAAAUGCUCUGAUUAAGGAUGGAUAAGUUGAGUAAGCUUAGGGGUAAAAUUGACAACAAUUUGAUUGGUCGAGAUUCAGCUCGCGUUUAAAAAUGACGUUUGAGCCGAAAGGAUGAAUUCUAGGAUCUGAUUGAGGAUUGUGAGCAUUCGUAACAUAUUGAAUCAAUGGACUCAAAAUGAUAGUGACAAAGGCUGCCAAUAAGAUUACUAUACUUAUGGGAUUAACCAUAAUGCAAGCAAGCAAGAAUUUCCAGAGAAAUAAGCAGCUAAGGAUUUUUGGAUAUCGAAUAUUAUUUUCAAGACCUUAGUCAAACACAUAAACAACUGGGGAUGGGCGGAUACUCGGUAAGUGCGAGAAAUUAUUCGUUGGGGGUAUUCAUGUGGCAAGAACUACAGGGCAUUAGGCAUAAAGUAUUCUCAAAUAAUAGAGAGAAUUUCAGGGUAUCUUGUAAUAACAAGAUCAAUGGGGAAUGAUUGUAUGAAUGGCAAGUGUAUGUGGUUAAUCAUAGGGGUUUAUCGAUGGAAGUGAAUUGCAAAAGCGAUGGCACAUAGUCUGGAGAGCACAUUGUAGGGUAUCUUCAGAAUCUUCUAGUGCAGCAGGCGGUCAUCGGUAAUAAGGGGCUCUCCGGGUGGGAGUGAUCACGAGAUCCUAACAUUAGAGUUAGAAAAAUUCAUUUAACUCGAAUAGAAGAGAGAUCGGAGUCCUAGAGUAUAGAUGAGGAGUAAAAUAUCCUAAUACCACCCAAUGGCGACGUGGGCCCGUAAGCCGCACAACCAUGUUAGUAAAAGUUUUUCAAUGACUAGACUCGACUUUGGCCAAGGAGUUGGAAAGGGGGAUUCCUACAGGCAGUCGGCUCUGAUACCAACUUGUGACGCCCCAGAUUCAAUCAUGCACUAAUCAUGCACGCAAACAUGUACGAUCAAGAUCAGGGACUCACAGGAAGAUAUCACAACACAACUCUAAAAACAUAAAUAAGUCAUACAAGCAUCAUAAUACAAGCCAGGGGCCUCGAGGGCACGAAUACAAGUGCUCGAUCAUAGACGAGUCAGCGGAAGCAACAAUAUCUGAGUACAGACAUAAGUUAAACAAGUUUGCCUUAAGAAGGCUAGCACAAACUGGGAUACAGAUCGAAAGAGGCGCAGGCCUCCUGCCUGGGAUCCUCCUAAACUACUCCUGGUCGUCGUCAGCGGCCUGCACGUAGUAGUAGGCACCCUCGGUGUAGUAGGAGUCGUCGUUAACGGUGGCGUCUGACUCCUGGGCUCCAGGAUCUGGUUGCGACAACCGAGAAGAAAGGAAAGGGGGAAAGAGGGAGAAAAGCAACCGUGAGUACUCAUCCAAAGUACUCGCAAGCAAGGAUCUACACUACAUAUGCAUGGGUAUCAGUGUAAAGGGGCAAUAUCGGUGGACUGAACUACAGAAUGCCAGAAUAAGAGGGGGAUAGCUAGUCUUGUCGAAGACUACGCUUCUGGCAGCCUCCAUCUUGCAGCAUGUAGAAGAGAGUAGAUGGUAAGUUCACCAAGUAGCAUCACAUAGCAUAAGCCUACCCGGCGAUCCUCCCCUUGUCGCCCUGUGUGAGAGCGAUCACCGGGUUGUAUCUGGCACUUGGAAGGGUGUGUUUUAUUAAGUAUCCGGUUCUAGUUGUCAUAAGGUCAAGGUACAACUCCAAGUCGUCCUGUUACCGAAGAUCACGGCUAUUCGAAUAGAUAAACUUCCCUGCAGGGGUGCACCACAUUACCCGACACGCUCGAUCCCCUUUGGCCGGACACACUUUCCUGGGUCAUGCCCGGCCUCGGAAGAUCAACAUGUCGCAGCCCCACCUAGGCACAACAGAGAGGUCAGCACGCUGGUCUAAAUCCUAUGCACACAGGGGUCUGGGCCCAUCGCCCAUUGCACAUCUGCAUGUUGCGUGGGCGGCCGGAAGCAGACCUAGCCUCCCUAAUACAAGAGCAGGCGUUCCACUCCAAUCCGGCGCGCGCCGCUUAGUCGCUGACGUCACGAAGGCUUCGGCUGAUACCACGACGCUGGUUGCCCAUAUCUUGUCCCAUGUGGCGGUUACUGCGUAUAAGGUCAAUGACCCAACUCAGAUCAAAUACCAAGAUCUCGUUAAGCGUGUUAUUUUGAAGUAACCGCGGACGCCGACCAGGGCCAGGCCCACCUCUCUCCUAGGUGAUCUCAACCUGCCCUAUUGCUCCGCCACAAAGUAACAGUCGGGGGCCGUCCGGAACCCAGGCCCACCUCUACCGGGAUGGAGCCACCUGCCCCUUCAGCACCCAUCUCCGAACAGUAUCAUAAGUAAUGUGAAAGUAUAAAGUAUAUAGAAUAUGCCCGUGAUCACCUCCUGAAGUGAUCACUGCCCAGUAGUAUAGCAUGGCAGACGGACAACAAUGUAGGGCCACUGAUGGAACACUAGCAUCCUAUACUGAGCAUUUAGGAUUGCAAGUAAGGGUAACAAUUGUAGCAACAAUGACAGGCUAUGUAGUAGAAUAGGACUAACCGAAAGCAGUAACAUGCUACACUACUCUAAUUCAAGCAGUAGAGAGAAGGAAUAGGCGAUAUCUGGUGAUCAAAGGGGGGGCUUGCCUGGAAGCUCAGCCGAGAAGGAGGGGUCGCCAACACCGUAGUCGUACUGGGUAGCAGCGGCGUCGGUCUCGUAGUCUACCGGAGAGAAGAGGGGGAAGAAAUAAUAAAUAUAAUGCAAACAUAAGCAUGACGAUGCAUGACAUGCCAAUGAGCGGUGCUAGGUGUGCCCUAACGCAGUAGGAGGUGAUACCGGUGAAGGGGGGAAACAUCCGGGAAAGUAUUCCCAGUGUUUUGCAUUUUCGGACAGAGGAACCGGAGGGGGAAAGUUACGUGUUCGCUAUGCUAGGGAUGUGUGGCGGAUGAACGGGCUGCGUAUCUGGAUUCGUCUCGUCGUUUUGAGCAACUUUCAUCUACAAAGUAUUUUCAUACGAGGUACGGAUUAUUUUAUAUUAAUUUAUAAAGAUUUAAAUCUUUUUUUGAAUUAACAGAAUUAAUUUAAUUAGAAAAUUGUAAUUAUGACGUCAGCAUGAUGUCAAGAUGAUGUCAGCGGUCAACCGUCUGUUGACCUAGUCAAACUGAUAAGUGGAUCCCACUGUCAUUGGCUAUGAUUAUGUAAACAGAUUUAAUUUGAAUAAUUAGGUGAUUAGGUUAAUUAAUCAGUGUUAAUUAAGUUAAUUAAUUUUACUUAUUUGUUUCCUUUUUAAAAAAAUUCAUAGGGGCGGGCCCCACAUGUCAAUGGCCCAGGGGGCCUUAGCGGGCACGUGGACAGGCGGGUUAUGGGGACCGUAGCGGGUGCGGGCGCUGCCCGGGCGUGGCGUGAUACGUCUCCAAUGUAUCUAUAAUUUUUGAUUGCUCCAUGCUAUAUUAUCUACUGUUUUCGACUAUAUUGGGCUUUAUUUUCCACUUUUAUAUUAUUUUUGGGACUAACCUAUUAACCGGAGGCCCAGCCCAGAAUUGCUGUUUUUCCCUAUUUCAGAGUUUCGGAGAAAUAGAAUAUCAAAAGGAGUCCAAACGGAAUGAAACCUUCGGGAACGUGAUUUUCUCACCGAACGUGAUCCAGGAGACUUGGACCCUACUCCAACGAACAAAAGAGGUGGUCACGAGGGUGGGGGCGCGCCCACCCCCCUAGGGCGCGCCCCCUGCCUCGUGGGCCCCAUGUUGCUCCACCGACGUACUCCUUCCUCCUAUAUAUACCUACGUACCCCCAAACGGUCAGAUAUGGAGCCAAAAACCUAAUUCCAUCACCGCAACCUUCUGUAUCCACGAGAUCCCAUCUUGGGGCCUGUUCCGGAGCUCCGCCGGAGAGGGCCAUCAUCACAGAGGGCUUCUACAUCAUCCUAACCCCUUCGAUGAAGUGUGAGUAGUUCACCUCAGACCUACGGGUCCAUAUUUAUUAGCUAGAUGGCUUCUUCUCUCUUUUUGGAUCUCAAUACAAUGUUCUCCCCCUCUCUCGUGGAGAUCUAUUUGAUGUAAUCUUCUUUUUGCAGUGUGUUUGUUGAGACCGAUGAAUUGUGGGUUUAUGAUCAAGUCUAUCUAUGAAUAAUAUUUGAAUCUUCUCUGAAUUCUUUUAUGUAUGAUUGGUUAUAUUUGCAAGUCUCUUCGAAUUAUCAGUUUGGUUUGGCCUACUAGAUUGGUUUUUCUUGCCAUGGGAGAGGUGCUUAGCAUUGGGUUCAAUCUUGCGGUGUCCUUUCCCAGUGAUAGAAGGGGCAGCAAGGCACAUAUUGUAUUGUUGCCAUCAAGGAUAACAAGAUGGGGUUUUUAUCAUAUUGCAUGAAACUAUCCCUCUACAUCAUGUCAUCUUGCUUAAGGCAUUACUCUAUUUUUAACUUAAUACUCUAGAUGCAUGCUGGAUAGCGGUCGAUGAGUGGAGUAAUAGUAGUAGAUGCAGGUAGGAGUCGGUCUACUUGUCUCAGACGUGAUGCCUAUAUACAUGAUCAUACCUAGACAUUCUCAUAACUAUGCUCAAUUCUGUCAAUUGCUCAACCGUAAUUUGUUCACCCACCGUAGAAUACUUAUGCUCUUGAGAGAAGCCACUAGUGAAACCUAUGGCCCCCGGGUCUAUUUUCCUCAUAUUAAUCUCCAUCACUUUAAUCUUGCUUGCUUUUUACUUUGCCUUUUUACUUUUCACUUUGCAUCUCUAUACCAAAAAUACCACAAAUAUUAUCUAUCAUCUCUAUCAGAUCUCACCCCCGUAAGUAACCGUGAAGGGAUUGACAACCCCUAAUCGCGUUGGUUGCAUGGAGCUAUUGUUUUUGUGUAGGUACGAGGGACUUGAGCGUAGCCUCCUACUGGAUUGAUACCUUGGUUCUCAAAAACUGAGGGAAAUACGUACGCUACUUUGCUGCAUCAUCCUCUCCUCUUCAGGGAAAUCCAACGCAGUGCUCAAGAGGUAGCAAGAAGAAUUUCUGGCGCUGUUGUCGGGGAAUCUGCGCAAAAGUCAACAUACCAAGUACCCAUCACAAUCCCUAUCUCCCGCAUUACAUUAGUUGCCAUUUGCCUCUCAUUUUCCUCUCCCCCACUUCACCCUUGCCGUUUUAUUCGCCCUCUCUUUUCCGUUUGCCUUUUUCUCGCUUGCCUUGUCGUCAUGGCUAGUCUUAUAUUGUAACGCCAUCGAUGCGGCUAUAGCUCCCACGUGUCGAGGCACGACUUAGAGACAUAACCGCAUUGAAAGCAAUGUUGCAAGUCAGGCAAUCAUUACAACAUCCCAUAUAAUAUAUAAUAAAAGGGGGAGAACAUAGUUGGCUUACACUCGCCACGUCACAUCAAAGUACAUAAAUAACAUCCAUCAUACAAACACUCAUGGCCCUACUACGGCGCCAAAAUAGAAGAAAACCCAACAUGCAACAAGGCCCUGAAUCGAACCCCAACUAGGCACCACUACUAAUCAUCAAGAAAAGACACGUAGUAACGCUGAGAGUCCUCGCCGAACUCCCACUUGAGCUCGUAAUCGUCACCUGGAGCGGAAUCACCUGGACCUGCAUCUGGAGUUAUAGUAUCUGUGAGCCACAGGGACUCAGCAAUCUCGCACCCUCGCGAUCAAGACUAUUUGAGCUUAUAGGUAUGGCAAGGUUAAAUAUGAGUGGAGCUGCAGCAAGCGACUAGCAAGUAUGGUGGCUAACUUAUACGCAAAAGAGAGCGAGAAGAGGAGGCAAAGCGCGAGCGAGAAUCUAGAAGGCAACCUGCGCAAACAUUACUCCAACACCGUGUCCACUUCCGGACUCCGCCGAGAAGAGGCCAUCACGGUAACACACUCAGUUGAUUCAUUUUAAUUAAUUAAGGUUUAAGUUAUCUACAACCGGACAUUAACAAAUUCCCAUCUGUCCAUAACCGCGGGCACGGCUUUCGAAAGUUCAAUCCCUGCAGGGGAGUCCCAACUUAGCCCAUGACAAGCUCUCACGGUCAAGGAAGGAAUAGACCUCCUCCCAAGACGUUCGGAUCAGACUCGGUAUCUCGGUAACUCAAGACACUACGGCGGGUUAAAACAAGACCAGCAACACCGCCUGAAUGUGCCGACAAAUCCCGAUAGGAGCUGCACAUAUCUCUUUCUCAGGGCACACUCAGAUUGUCCUAGGUAUGGGUAGGCCAGCCCAGAGUUGCCCCUGGUGGCCACCGGUAGCUGACAGGUGGACCAACACUCAGAGGAGCACUGGCCCGGGGGUAAAAUAAGAUGACCCUUGAGUCUGCAGAACCCAAGGGAAAGAAACGGCUAGGUGGCAAAUGGUAAAACCAAGGUUGGGCAUUGCAGGAAAAGCUUUAAUCAAGGCGAAAUAUCAAGGGGUUCCCAUUAUAGCCCAACCGCGUAAGGAACGCAAAAUCCGGGAACAUAACACCGAUAUGACGGAAACUAGAGCGGCAAGAGUGGAACAAAACACUAGGCGAGAGGCCGAGCCUUCCACCCUUUACCAAGUAUAUAGAUGCAUUAAGAUAACAUGGCAAUAUAAUGAUAUCCCAACAAGUAAAUAAAUGAUGUUCCAACAAGGAACAGCCUCCAAUCUUCACCUGCAACUAGCAACGCUAUAAGAGGGGAUGAGCAAAGCGGUAACAUAACCAAUCAAUGGUUUGCCAGGACAAGAUGGGUUAGAGGUUAAACAUGGAAAUUGGGAGGCUUACAAGCAAAAGGUAGGCAUCGUAGCAUUGGCAUAGCAAGAGCGAGCAAACUAGCAUAGCAAAGAUAGUAGUGAUUUCGAGGGUAUGAUCAUCUUGCCUGCACAGUUGUCAGAGUUGACUGGAUCCUCACAAGCAAACUCAACGGGCUCCUAGGUAGCGAACUCGUCUCCCGGCUCUACCCAAACAAGACAAACAAGCAACAAGGAUACAAUCAACCACGUGCAAGACCAAGCAAUAUGAUGAAAUGAUGACAUGCUAUGCGGGAUGCGAUGCGGAAUGCAAAAUGCAAGAUAUGACAGGAAAUGCAUUAACCUGGCCUCAACUUGGAAUUCCAAGGGUGCCACUGGAAAGAUGAGAUGAAAUCGCUUGAAAACGAUAUAAAGAACGCCGGAAUCGGAGUUACGGUUUGGAAAUGGCAAGCGAUUUAAGAUAUGACACCGGUCUGUGAUUUACAGCAAGUAGGCAUCUAAAUGCAACGAGAUGAACAUGCUACAGCCACCAAACAUGACAACAAAAUACAUGGCAGGGAUGCACACAAGAUGCUUAACAAAAGACUAGCACUGAGCCACGGCCGAUUCAUCCAUUAUGAGGUUCAAACAAGCAUGGCAAAAACGCAAAUGCAAAACAGAUUCCAGACUUAGUGAAAUUAACACUCGUUUGAAAUUUCAGAUCACGAAGCCCUCUUCGGAGCAGCAAAACAACAUGAUACAUGACCUGAUUAAGACAAGUAAGAACAUGGCAUGGAGCUACUCAACAAGCUUAACAAAAGACCCAAAGUGACCUGGGGCCAAAAGGGUUCACAAAAUAUACUAACGGGCAUACUAAUAUAGCUAAAACACAAUCAGUUUUCAGACUUGGUGAAAACUGAGACAUGCUGAAAUAUAACUCACGAAGGCAUGUAAACGAGCUCGAUGCACUCACCACGGUGCAAGUCAUGGAAAGCUAAGCAUACAUCCAUUAAGAAGGCACAAAAUGCUAGCUAUACAUAGCAAGAACAAUGGCAUAGCAUGCAUGGAUCAACUACAAUAACAUCGGCAAAAUCGCAAACAAGUUGACGAUCUGCCCAGAUUCACAACGAAGCAAAAGUAGAGCUCGAUUGACUCAAGCUAGGAUGCUCCAUAAUUGCAAACAAAGACACGGAUGGAUAGAGCAUAACAUGAUUAACAAAACUCCUUUACUGAUCAUCCUCAAAAGAGGCACGGAUCACUAGGAAACAAGCUGAACAUAUGGCAUCAUGGACUAAAUAAUCCCAGACUUAGUGAAAACUACUAAGUCUCUGAAAACAGAUUUCCCGGGUGCCUCACUUUGCAAGCUUGCACAAGUCACCACACACAUCCUAAAAAUGCAUGGGUUGCACCUCUGAAAAGAAGACAAAAUACUUAACAAAACAUAUGAAAGACUCACAGGCAUAGCAUGCACACAAUAAUCAUGGCAAAAAUGACAAAAGUCUAAGAUGAACUAGCAAAUCUGACAAUUAACUCACGAAGCCUCCUUCUAACAGCAUUUUGGGCGUCAAGAUGAGCUCAAAUGAAAAUGAUGCAAUGGAAUGAAAUGACGUACCCGUCGAGGCGAACAUUUGGAUAUACUAUAUGUCCAAAUCGGAGCUACGGAUGCAAAGUUACGGACGGUCAAAGUAGGCAUAAAAAAUUAGGGUUCAGAGGGAAAGUCAACCGAGAUUUUUCCAGAUCCAGAUCUGCACUGUUUACCGGCGCGAAAAACGAUGACGGCCGGCGUUGAGGACGGCGGCGGCCGGAGUUGGAGGGGUCGCCGGGCGAGGAGAGGCCGGGGCGCGCCGGCCGGAGCACCGAGGCGCGGCGAGGAGGAGGCGGCGGCCGGGCGGUGNNNNNNNNNNNNNNNNNNNNNNNNNNNNNNNNNNNNNNNNNNNNNNNNNNNNNNNNNNNNNNNNNNNNNNNNNNNNNNNNNNNNNNNNNNNNNNNNNNNNNNNNNNNNNNNNNNNNNNNNNNNNNNNNNNNNNNNNNNNNNNNNNNNNNNNNNNNNNNNNNNNNNNNNNNNNNNNNNNNNNNNNNNNNNNNNNNNNNNNNNNNNNNNNNNNNNNNNNNNNNNNNNNNNNNNNNNNNNNNNNNNNNNNNNNNNNNNNNNNNNNNNNNNNNNNNNNNNNNNNNNNNNNNNNNNNNNNNNNNNNNNNNNNNNNNNNNNNNNNNNNNNNNNNNNNNNNNNNNNNNNNNNNNNNNNNNNNNNNNNNNNNNNNNNNNNNNNNNNNNNNNNNNNNNNNNNNNNNNNNNNNNNNNNNNNNNNNNNNNNNNNNNNNNNNNNNNNNNNNNNNNNNNNNNNGCUCGCGGGGGCCUCCCGCGGGCUCGGGCGGGCCGGCGGCGGCGGCGGUGGCGCCUGCCAUGUGUCAGCGCGCGAGAGGGCGGCGGUGGUGUCCGGUUGGGUCGGACAAUGUCCGGCGCGGCGCGGGGGCGAUUUUAGGGUUUCAUGGUGGGAGGAGAGAUCCGAAAAUUUGGGGGGUCUAUUUAUAGGCAUAAGUGGAGCUAGGAGAGUCCAAAUGAGGUGCGGUUUUCGGCCACGCGAUCGUGAUCGAACGCUCUAGGACAUGGAGCAGAGUUUUUUGGGUUUUGGGCCAAAUUGGAGGGGUGUUGGGAUGCAACACUCACGAGGCCUUUUUGGUCCCUCGGUUAAUCGUUGGAGUAUCAAAUGAAGUCCAAAUGAUACGAAACUUGAUAGGCGGUCUACCGGUAGUAAACCAAGGCCGCUUGGAAAGUCUUGGUCCAAUCCGGAAAUGUUUAAUCCCCACACACAAAAGAAAGGUAGAAAUGACCACCGGAGGAGAACGAAGCGUCGGAAUGCAAAAUGGACAACGGGGAAAAUGCUCGGAUGCAUGAGAUGAACACGUAUGCAAAUGCAAUGCACAUGAUGACAUGAUAUGAGAUGCAUGAAAACGAAAACAACACACAGAGACAAAGACCCGAACCCGAGAAAUAAAUAUAACUUAACGCCGGAAACGGCAAGAGUUGGAGUACAAAAAGGGAAAGUUACAUCCGGGGUGUUACAACACUCCACCACUACAAAAAGAUCUCGUCCCGAGAUCUAGGACUGAAAGAACUCCGGGUACUCAGAACGGAGGUGAUCCUCGCGUUCCCAGGUAGCUUCACGGUCGGAAUGGUGCGACCACUUGACUUUGAGAAAUUUGAUUGACUUGUUGUGAGUCUUGCGUUCAGUCUCUUCAAGAAUAGCAACUGGGUGCUCACGGUAAGAGAGAUCUUCUUGGAGCUCAAUGUCCUCGAAGUUGACGGUGCGGUCAGGAGUCUUGAAGCACUUUUGAAGCUGAGAGACAUGGAACACGUCGUGAACAGUUGCAAAGUUUGAAGGAAGCUCGAGUUGAUAGGCGAGGUCGCCUCUCUUGCUAACAAUCUUGAAAGGUCCCACGUAUCUAGGGGCAAGCUUCCCUUUGAUACCGAAGCGACGAGUACCUUUCAUAGGAGAGACAAGGAGGUGAACAUGAUCUCCGAUCUCGAAAGCCAAAUCAUGGUGCUUACUAUCAUAGUAGCUCUUCUGACGGGAUUGGGCUGCUUUGAGGUUAUCACGAAUGACUUUGCACAGUUCUUCUGCUUCUGUGAUUAAGUCAUUACCCAAAAGCUGACGUUCACCGGUUUCAGACCAGUUGAGAGGGGUACGGCACUUCCUGCCAUACAGAAUUUCAAAAGGGGCCUUGCCCAAACUUGCUUGAAAACUAUUGUUGUAGGAGAAUUCAGCAUAAGGAAGACAAUCCUCCCACUUCAUGCCGAAGGAGAUCACACAAGCCCUGAGCAUAUCUUCAAGAAUUUGGUUGACACGCUCGACUUAACCGCUUGUUUGAGGAUGGAAAGCAGUGCUGAAGCGGAUGUUGGUGCCCAUGGCCUUCUGGAAAGAAUCCCAAAACUUUGAGGUAAAGAUGCUGCCACGGUCUGAAGAGAUCACUUGAGGAAUACCAUGCAGAGAGACAAUGCGAGAGGUAUAGAAUUCCGCCAAUUGAGCUGCAGUGAUCGACUCUUUGAUAGGCAGAAAGUGAGCCACUUUGGUGAGUUUGUCGAUGACAAUAAAUAUAGCAUCAUUGCCACGCUUGGACUUUGGAAACCCAGUCACGAAGUCCAUCUCAAUGUGGUCAAACUUCCAUUCUGGAAUGGCAAGGGGUUGGAGGAGACCUGCUGGCCUUUGGUGUUCUACCUUCACUCUUCUGCAGACAUCACAUUCAUUCACGAAUUGAGCGAUCUCACGCUUCAUUCGAGUCCACCAAUAAGCUUGCUUGAGGUCCUAAUACAUCUUCGUGCUCCCAGGGUGGAUGGAGAGGAGAGAAUUGUGAGCCUCAUUCAUGAUCACUUUACGAAGUUCACCUUUGGGCACAACAAUACGAUCCUCGAAGAAGAGAGUGUCCUUGUCAUCAAGGCGGUAGCACUUGUACUUGGACUGACUCUUGGCAAUCCCAAUCUUCACCUUUUUCACCAUAGCAUCAAGAAGCUAGGCUUGGCGAAUCUGGUCUUCUAAGGUAGGAGAGACUUGAAGGUUGGCGAGGAAACCUUGAGGAACAACUUGCAGAUUAAGCUUGCGGAAAGCUUCACAAAGCUCGGGUUGAUAAGGCUUGAGAAUCAGACUGUUGCAGUAGGCCUUUCUGCUCAAAGCGUCAGCAAUCACAUUGGCCUUGCCUGGAGUAUACUCAAUACUCGGAUUAUACUCUUGAAUCAUUUUGACCCAUCGAGUUUGCCUGAGGUUGAGAUUAGGCUGAGUGAAGAUGUACUUGAGACUCUUGUGAUCAGUGAAAAUGUCCACUUUUCUUCCCAAUAGAAGAUGUCUCCAAGUCAAUAGAGCAUGCACAACUGCCGCCAACUCGAGAUCAUGAGUGGGGUAGUUCUUCUCAUUAGGCUUCAACUGGCGAGAUGUAUAAGCAACAACAUUCUUCUCUUGCAUCAAUACUGCACCAAGACCUUGGAGAGAGGCAUCACAAAAGACCUCGUACGGCUUGGAUUCAUCAGGCAGAGUCAGAACUGGAGCAGUGAUCAAUUGCUCUUUCAAAGUGUUGAAAGCAAUAUCACACUCCGGAGACCAAACGUACUUGACGUGCUUCUGAAGAAGAUUUGAGAGAGGCUUCGCGAUCUUAGAAAAGUUUUCAAUGAAUCUCCUGCAAUAUCUUGCGAGACCGAGGAAACUGCGGAGUUGCUUCACGUUCUGAGGAGGUUCCCAAUUCACAAUUGCGGACACCUUCUCAGGAUUCACGGAAAUGCCCUUGGCAGAGAUGAUAUGACCAAGAUAAAGAACCUCAUCGAGCCAAAAUUCACACUUGGAGAACUUGGUGUAGAACUGAUGUUCUCUGAGCUUAUCAAGAACCAAACGCAAGUGCUUGGCAUGAUCUUCCUUGUUCUUGGAGAAAACCAGAAUGUCGUCGAGAUAGACCAAAACGAAGUCAUUGGUGUAGGCGUUGAAGAUGAAGUUCAUCAUGCGAGAGAACGUCGGAGGAGCGUUGGCGAGGCCAAAAGACAUGACGGUGUAUUCAUAUGAACCAAAGCUUGUUCUGAAUGCUGUCUUGGGAAUAUCUUCUUCACGAAUGCGAAUCUGGUGAUAACCCAUACGGAGAUCAAGCUUGGAGAAUACUUGAGCACCUUUGAGUUGUUCGAACAGCUCAUUGAUGUUGGGAAGUGGGUAUUUGUUCUUGAUGGUCUUCUUGUUCACUGGACGGUAAUCAACACAAAGUCGGUCCGUUCCAUCCUUCUUCUUCACAAAAAGAACACCACAACCCCACGGAGAAGAACUAGGCCGGAUGAGACCCAUUCUUUCUUGCUCAUCGAGUUGCUUCUUCAGCUCCUUCAACUCUUCAGGUCCGAUCUUGUAAGGACGUUUGCCCAUAGGUUCCGUGCCAGGCUCAAGUUCAAUAACGAAUUCAACUGGCCGGUGCGGAGGCAUUCCUGGGAGCUCUUUUGGAAAGACGUCUUGAUAUUCGCAAAUGACUGGAAUUUGCGAAAUAGCGUCCAAUUCACCCUUCUCAUUGAGAGAAAACAGACGGAUAGUAUCAUCACGAGCGGCAAAGACAAUUACAUCCUCAGACGAAUGAGUCAAUUGAAUCUGCCUGGCUGCACAAUCAAGCUGAGCCUUGUGCUUAGAAAGCCAGUCCAUUCUGAGAAUAAGAUCAAUAUCCGAGUCAUCGAGAACCGUUGGAGAUGAUAGAAACUUGUAGUCACCCAAAGUGAUAGAAACAUCCGGAACGAUGGAGUUAGCCUGCAUGCGCUUACAGGGAGAGACAACUACUAAAGAACUAGGCAAAACUUGUGAAAUCAAUUCAUGCCUAUUUGUAAACGGUCUCGAGAUGAAGCAAUGCGAUGCACCAGUGUCAAAAAGAACUUCUGCAGGAAUAUCAUUAACAGGAAGGUUACCCAUGAUCACAUCUGACGAGUCCUCUGCCUGAGCUGCAUUCAUCAAAUUGACCUUGGCAUGCUUGGGGUUAUGCUUGACCACAUUUGUACUUGCCGAUCUAACAGGAGGAGGAGGAGGAAGAUGCCUCUGGUUGAAACACUUGUUGGCAUAGUGACCCUUCAGUUGGCACUUGUUGCACGUGACCUCUGAAAGCAGGCGGUGAUACGGAGCACUCGAUCUUGGAGCUUGAGACGAAGUCUUGUUCUGAAAGCCAGGGUUGGGUGGGUGGGAAGAACCACUGCCACCUUUGCUCUUCUGCUGAUACGGCUGACGGAACAGAGGAGGAGGAAGCCAAAACUUCUGCUGCUUGGCCACUUGAGUAGAGGAAGAAGGAGUAACAUCUCUGACUCGCUUCUUGGAAGCAUCACACCUCAACUGAGCAGCCUCUUGCUUCAGUGCCAUGUUGUAGAACUCAUCGUACCUCAAGGGCUCAAAGAGGACAAGAGCGAGCUGAAUAUCUUCUCUGAGACCACCCCUGAACUGAUAUAUCAUGCUCUUCUCAUCAGGGACGUCCUGCUUGGCAAAGCGGGCAAGCUUCUGGAACAAUUUGUUGUAGUCAUAGACAGACAAAGAGCCUUGCUUCAGAUUGCGGAAUUCCUCACGCUUGCUUUCAACCACGCUCUGCGGAAUAUGAUGAGCUCGGAAAUCUCUACGGAAAUCAUCCCAAGUGAUAACACGUCCACCUCUGGAAUCCUUGUACUGCUGGAACCAUUCUGCAGCUUGAUCUUUAAGUUGGAAGGAAGCGAACUUGACAAAGUCCCCAGGCCUGACGUUACUGCACUCGAAAUGCUUACACAGAUCCACAAGCCAAUCGUCAGCAUUGGUUGCCUCAACACAAUUGCUGAAAGUCUUUGGCCCAUUAGCAAGGAACUGGUUGAGUGUAGCAAAGUGACUCUGGUUGCUGCCUUGAUUCCCUUGACUGCCUUGAUUGCGCUCUUGAAGAAUUUUCAUGAUUAGUUGUGUGUUUGCAUUGGUUGCGGCCAUCACAGCUUGCCAUGCCUCUGGAGGAGGUGGAGGCGGUGGCGGAUCAGGAUUCGGAGUCGUGCGCGUUGGAGGAGCCAUCCUGAAGAGGUUGACCACCAUUAGCACAUUGACAGAUAAAUAUUGAAGUUGAAUCCAACGGAAUGAAAAUUGCAACAUAUAGUCUUCACAUCCGAACAAAAUGAACGAAUGCAUUCCUCUUGAAAUGGUCACAUAUCCAUAAAUUGAGAAGCCACGUAGAAUUAAGGUAAAGAAAUAAAUCAACAAGGUAUGGAUCAAGAACGAAUAAUCAGUAAGAAAUCCCAAUCUCAAACCAAUAUCCGUGGAAGAAGAACUAGAGCUACUAGAAUUCCCACCUAUUAAACUCCCGAACCUUUCUGGUUAUGCAAUCAGGUGUUGGGGAUACAGGGGAAGCAUAAUAUCUCACCCAAACUAGCAAAUCCUACAUCUAGCUGUAUCCAUCCUUCAACACAUAACCAAGAAAACUUUGGAAACCAUCUACCUCAACCUUCGAAAAGCAUCCGUUAUACAAGUUAUGGCGAUACUCCCGAACUCCCGCCCCAGUACUGGGUGGCGUCGAGGUUAUCUCACCAACGAACUGCAUAAAAGAGAUUUUCGAUGUCGGCGAACAUAUCUCAAGUAUUCCAGAAUUGCAACGAUAAAAUUAUGAUGACAACACCUCAGAGCUCAACUCCCCGGGACACUUCCACUAAACCCCUGACAGGAGGCACCAAGACAAUGUUCUCAUCAUAAGCCAUCGGAAUGAUUCCAAGAUACUCGCGUGAUCCUAAAAAAAAAUUAGUGAAAUUUGAGAAGAGAAGAGUCAAAACUCUACGUCAGGAUGCCUUACCAGAGCGAUGAGGAGACUGGGAAGUAAAAAGAAUUCCUAAACUCUCUGAUAUAUAAUUCCUAAAGACUCAAAACAUUUUUCUAGACACAACUCGGCAGCUAAAAACGAUCAAGCAAUGGGGCUCCUAAGCUCGGGGAAGGCUCUGAUUACCAACUUGUAACGCCCUCGAUGCGGCUAUAGCUCCCACGUGUCGAGGCACGACUUAGAGACAUAACCGCAUUGAAAGCAAUGUCGCAAGUCAGGCAAUCAUUACAACAUCCCAUAUAAUAUAUAAUAAAAGGGGGAGAACAUAGUUGGCUUACACUCGCCACGUCACAUCAAAGUACAUAAAUAACAUCCAUCAUACAAACACUCAUGGCCCGACUACGGCGCCAAAAUAGAAGAAAACCCAACAUGCGACAAGGCCCUGAAUGGAACCCCAACUAGGCACCACUACUGAUCGUCAGGAAAAGACACGUAGUAACGCUGAGAGUCCUUGUCGAACUCCCACUUGAGCUCGUAAUCGUCACCUGGAGCGGAAUCACCUGGACCUGCAUCUGGAGUUAUAGUAUCUGUGAGCCACAGGGACUCAGCAAUCUCGCACCCUCGUGAUCAAGACUAUUUGAGCUUAUAGGUAUGGCAAGGUUAAAUAUGAGUGGAGCUGCAGCAAGCGACUAGCAAGUAUGGUGGCUAACUUAUACGCAAAAGAGAGCGAGAAGAGGAGGCAAAGCGCGAGCGAGAAGCUAGAAGGCAACCUGCGCAAACAUUACUCCAACAUCGUGUCCACUUCCCGGACUCUGCCGAGAAGAGGCCAUCACGGUAACACACUCAGUUGAUUCAUUUUAAUUAAUUAAGGUUUAAGUUAUCUACAACCGGACAUUAACAAAUUCCCAUAUGCCCAUAACCGCGGGCAUGGCUUUCGAAAGUUCAAUCCCUGCAGGGGAGUCCCAACUUAGCCCAUGACAAGCUCUCAUGGUCAACGAAGGAAUAGACCUCCUCCCAAGACGUUCGGAUCAGACUCGGUAUCUCGGUAACUCAAGACACUUCGACAGGUUAAAACAAGACCAACAACACCGCCCGAAUGUGCCGACAAAUCCCGAUAGGAGCUGCACAUAUCUCUUUCUCAGGGCACACUCAGAUUGUCCUAGGUACGGGUAGGCCAGCCCAGAGUUGCCCCUGGUGGCCACCGAUAGCUGACAGGUGGACCAACACUCAGAGGAGCACUGGCCCGGGGAUAAAAUAAGAUGACCCUUGAGUCUGCAGAACCCAAGGGAAAGAAACGGCUAGGUGGAAAAUGGUAAAACCAAGGUUGGGCAUUGCUGGAAAAGCUUUAAUCAAGGUGAAAUAUCAAGGGGUUCCCAUUAUAACCCAACCGCGUAAGGAACGCAAAAUCCGGGAACAUAACACCGAUAUGACGGAAACUAGAGCGGCAAGAGUGGAACAAAACACUAGGCGAGAGGCCGAGCCUUCCACCCUUUACCAAGUAUAUAGAUGCAUUAAGAUAACAUGGCAAUAUAAUGAUAUCCCAACAAGUAAAUAAAUGAUGUUCCAACAAGGAACAGCCUCCAAUCUUCACCUGCAACUAGCAACGCUAUAAGAGGGGCUGAGCAAAGCGGUAACAUGGCCAAUCAACGGUUUGCUAGGACAAGGUGGGUUAGGGGUUCAACAUGGCAAUUGGGAGGCUUACAAGCAAAAGGUAGGCAUCGUAGCAUUGGCAUAGCAAGAGCGAGCAAACUAGAAUAGCAAAGAUAGUAGUGAUUUCGAGGGUAUGAUCAUCUUGCCUGCACAGUUGUCAGAGUUGACUGGAUCCUCACAAGCAAACUCAACGGGCUCCUCGGUAGCGAACUCGUCUCCCGGCUCUACCCAAACAAGACAAACAAGCAACAAGGAUACAAUCAACCACGUGCAAGACCAAGCAAUAUGAUGAAAUGAUGACAUGCUAUGCGGGAUGCGAUGCGGAAUGCAAAAUGCAAGAUAUGACAGGAAAUGCAUGAACCUGGCCUCAACUUGGAAUUCCAAGGGUGCCACUGGAAAGAUGAGAUGAAAUCGCUUGAAAACGAUAUAAAGAACGCCGGAAUCGGAGUUACGGUUUGGAAAUGGCAAGCGAUUUAAGAUAUGACACCGGUCUGCGAUUUACAGCAAGUAGGCAUCUAAAUGCAACGAGAUGAACAUGCUACAGCCACCAAACAUGACAACAAAAUACAUGGCAGGGAUGCACACAAGAUGCUUAACAAAAGACUAGCACUGAGCCACGACCGAUUCAUCCAUUAUGAGGUUCAAACAAGCAUGGCAAAAAUGCAAAUGCAAAACAGAUUCCAGACUUAGUGAAAUUAACACUCGUUUGAAAUUUCUGAUCACGAAGCCCUCUUCGGAGCAGCAAAACAACAUGAUACAUGACCUGAUUAAGACAAGUAAGAACAUGGCAUGGAGCUACUCAACAAGCUUAACAAAAGACCCAAAGUGACCUGGGGCCAAAAGGGUUCACAAAAUAUACUAACGGGCAUACUAAUAUAGCUAAAACACAAUCAGUUUUCACACUUGGUGAAAACUGAGACAUGCUGAAAUAUAACUCACGAAGGCAUGUAAACGACCUCGAUGCACUCACCACGGUGCAAGUCAUGGCAAGCCAAGCAUACAUCCAUUAAUAAGGCACAAAAUGCUAGCUAUACAGAGCAAGAACAAUGGCAUAGCAUGCAUGGAUCAACUACAAUAACAUCGGCAAAAUCGCAAACGAGUUGACGAUCUGCCCAGAUUCACAACGAAGCAAAAGUAGAGCUCGAUUGACUCAAGCUAGGGUGCUCCAUAAUUGUAAACAAAGACAUGGAUGGAUAGAGCAUAACAUGAUUAACAAAACUCCUUUACUGAUCAUCCUCAAAAGAGGCACGGAUCACUAGGAAACAAGCUGAACAUAUGGCAUCAUGGACUAAAUAAUCCCAGACUUAGUGAAAACUACUAAGUCUCUGAAAACAGAUUUUCCGGGUGCCUCACUUUGCAAGCUUGCACAAGUCACCACACAUAUCCUAAAAAUGCAUGGGUUGCACCUCUGGAAAGAAGACAAAAUACUUAACAAAACAUAUGAAGGACUCACAGGCAUAGCAUGCACACAAUAAUCAUGGCAAAAAUGACAAAAGUCUAAGAUGAACUAGCAGAUCUGACAAUUAACUCACGAAGCCUCCUUCUAACAGCAUUUUGGGCGUCAAGAUGAGCUCAAAUGAAAAUGAUGCUAUGGAAUGAAAUGACGUACUCGUCGAGGCGAACAUUUGGAUAUACUAUAUGUCCAAAUCGGAGAACGGAUGCAAAGUUACAGCCGGUCAAAGUAGGCAUAAAAAAUUAGGGUUCAGAGGGAAAGUCAACCGAGAUUUUUCCAGAUCCAGAUCUGCACUGUUCACCGGCGCGAAAAACGAUGACGGCCGACGUUGAGGACGGCAGCGGCCGGAGUAGGAGGGGUCGCCGGGCGAGGAGAGGCCGGGGCGCGCCGGCCGGAGCACCNNNNNNNNNNNNNNNNNNNNNNNNNNNNNNNNNNNNNNNNNNNNNNNNNNNNNNNNNNNNNNNNNNNNNNNNNNNNNNNNNNNNNNNNNNNNNNNNNNNNNNNNNNNNNNNNNNNNNNNNNNNNNNNNNNNNNNNNNNNNNNNNNNNNNNNNNNNNNNNNNNNNNNNNNNNNNNNNNNNNNNNNNNNNNNNNNNNNNNNNNNNNNNNNNNNNNNNNNNNNNNNNNNNNNNNNNNNNNNNNNNNNNNNNNNNNNNNNNNNNNNNNNNNNNNNNNNNNNNNNNNNNNNNNNNNNNNNNNNNNNNNNNNNNNNNNNNNNNNNNNNNNNNNNNNNNNNNNNNNNNNGGCGGGCCGGCGGCGGCGGCGGUGGCGCCUGCCACGUGUCAGCACGCGAGAGGGCGGCGGCGGUGUCCGGCCGGGUCGGACAAUGUCCGGCGCGGCGCGGGGGCGAUUUUAGGGUUUCGUGGGGGGAGGAGAGAUCCGAAAAUUCGGGGGGUCUAUUUAUAGGCAUAAGUGGAGCUAGGAGAGUCCAAAUGAGGUGCAGUUUUCGGCCACGCGAUCGUGAUCAAACGCUCUAGGACAUGGAGCAGAGUUUGGUGGGUUUUGGGCCAAAUUGGAGGGGUGUUGGGCUGCAACACUCACGAGGCCUUUUUGGUCCCUCGGUUAACCGUUGGAGUAUCAAACGAAGUCCAAAUGAUACGAAACUUGACAGGCGGUCUACCGGUAGUAAACCAACGCUGCUUGGCAAGUCUCGGUCCAAUCCGGAAAUGUUUAAUCCCCACACACGAAAGAAAGGUAGAAAUGACCACCGGAGGAGAACGAAGAGCCGGAAUGCAAAAUGGACAACGGGGAAAAUGCUCGGAUGCAUGAGAUGAACACGUAUGCAAAUGCAAUGCACAUGAUGACAUGAUAUGAGAUGCAUGAAAACGAAAACAACACACGGAGACAAAGACCCGAACCCGAGAAAUAAAUAUAACUUAAUGCCGGAAACGGCAAGAUUUGGAGUACAAAAAGGGAAAGUUACAUCCGGGGUGUUACAUAUAUCUUCUCUGUUAUCUCCCGAGAAUGAAGUCUUAAAUUUUAAACAAAGGGAGGGAGAAAAUCUAAAAGACGCUUGGUAUAGAAUUUGCAACGCUCAAAAUAGAUCUACCAGGAAGCAAUCUACUUUAGUUCCUCUUCGCAAUUUUUAUGUAGGUGCCAAUCCUUGGUAUAGAUAUAUCCUCGAUACCAUUACCGGAGGGAAUUUCUUGGGUAGCCAUACUUUUGAUUCUUAUAAUGCUAUGAUAGAUUUAUUUGGCUCACCACCUCUUUUGGUUAAUGGAACUAUGCUAACUUUGGAGCAUGUUAUGCAAAGGCUUGAAAUUAUUGAAAAUAAAGUUGCUACAACUGAAUCAAUGGAAAAUCUAGAUAAAAAGAUCCACAAUCAAAUUACCCAAUAUGGAUCUAAGGUAGGAAUGACUUUGAAAAAUAUUAAGGAAAAGGAACUUAUAGUUAAUGAGAAAAUAAAUCUAGAUUCCACUAGAAUCGAUAAACUUGAGGGUAUCAUUACAAACAUGGGAACUGCUUUUUCUUCCGUAAAAAAUACUCCUAGUCCUCCUACUAAAAUUUCCAAGCUUAUGUAUGUUCCUAAAAAUAAGGGUGAAUCAUCUAGUAAGGAAACUGCAGAUCUUAAAUCUAUAAGUAUUCAUCCUGAUCUUUUUGCUAUUAUUAAGGAACCAUUUGCUACAAAUGAAUUUUUCGAUCUUGUGCCUAAAAGUUUGAUAAUUACUAGAAAGAAAGAAAUCUCUAAGGAAGAUAGAUGCCUCAUUGAAGAAUUGCCUACCAAAGAUGGCAAUACCUAGAUCUAUCCUCGCUUUUAUGCCUAGCUAGGGGCGUUAAACGAUAGCGCUUGUUGGGAGGCAACCCAAUUUUAUUUUAGUUUUUUUUUGUUUUUUCUUCUGUUUAGGAAUAAAUAAUACAUGUACCUUCUUUUUAGAUGUGGUUUUGUGUUUUAAUUAGUGUUUGUGCCAAGUUAGACCUAUAUGAUCUUCUUGGAUGAUAGUUAUUUGAUCUUGCUGUAAAUUCCAGAAUCUUUCUGUUCACGAAAACAAUUGUUAAAAAUCAUCAGAACGUGAUAAAAUACUGAUUCCAAUUGCUGCUGAUGAAUAAACAAAUUGUCUAGGUCUUCCUAGUUUGGUACAUUUUUGGAGUUCCAGAAGUUUGUCUUAGUUACAGAUUACUACAGACUGUUCUGUUUUUGGCAGAUUCUGUUUUUCGUGUGUUGUUUGCUUAUUUUGAUGAAUAUAUGGCUAGUAAAAUAGUUUAUAAUCCAUAUAGAAGUUGGAAUACAGUAGGUUUAAAACCAAUAUAAAUAAAGAAUGAGUUCAUUACAGUACCUUGAAGUGGUCUUUUGUUUUCUUUCGCUAACGGAGCUCACGAGAUUUCUAUUGAGUUUUGUGUUGUGAAGUUUUCAAGUUUUGGGUAAAUUCUUUUGAUGGAUUAUGGAACAAGGAGUGGCAAGAGCCUAAGCUUGGGGAUGCCCAUGGCACCCCGAAGAUAAUCCAAGGACACCAAAAAGUCAAAGGUUGGGGAUGCCCCGGAAGGCAUCCCCUCUUUCGUCUACUUCCAUCGAUAAUUUUACUUGGAGCUAUAUUUUUAUUCACCACAUCAUAUGUGUUUUGCUUGGAGCAUCUUGUAUUAUUUGUGUCUUUGUUUGUUAGUGUGCCACAAUCAUCCUUGCUGUACACACCUUUUGAGAGAGCCAUAUAUGAAUUGGAAUUUGAUAGAAUACUCUAUGUGCUUCACUUAUAUCUUUUGAGCUUUAUAGUUUUGCUCUAUGUGCUUCACUUAGAUCUUUUAGAGCACGGUGGUGGAUUUGUUUUAAAGAAACUAUUGAUCUCUCAUGCUUCACUUAGAUCAUUUUGAGAGUCAUGAAUAGCAUGGUAAUUUGCUUAAUAUUAAUAUGCUUGGUAUUCAAGAUUUGUGAAACUUUCUUUUGAGUGCGUUGAAUACUAAGAAAAGAUUGAAGCUUGAAAAUUGUUUUGAGAUAUGAAGAUAGUGAUAUUAGAGUCAUGCUAGUUGAGUAGUUGUGAAUUUAAAGAAUACUUGUGUUAAAGUUUGUGAUUCCCGUAGCAUGCACGUAUGGUGAACCGUUAUGUGAUAAAGUCAGAGCAUGAUUUAUUUAUUGAUUAUCUUCCUUAUGAGUGGCGGUCGGGGACGAGCGAUGGUCUUUUCCUACCAAUCUAUCCCCCUAGGAGCAUGCGCGUAAUACUUUGCUUUGAUAACUUCUAGAUUUUUGCAAUAAGUAUAUGAGUUCUUUUUGACUAAUGUUGAGUCCAUGGAUUAUAUGCACUUUUCCCUUCCUUCCACCAUUGCUAGCCUCUCUAAUACCGUGCACUUUUCGCCGGUAUCAUACACCCACCAUAUAUCUUCCUCACAACAGCCACCAUACCUACCUAUCAUGGCAUUUUCAUAGCCAUUCCGAGAUAUAUUGCCAUGCAACUUUCCACCGUUCCGUUUAUUAUGACACACUCCAUCAUUGUCAUAUUGCUAGCAUGAUCAUGUAGUUGACAUCGUAUUUGUGGCAAAGCCAGCGUUCAUAAUUCUUUCAUACAUGUCACUCUUGAUUCAUUGCAUAUCCCGGUACACCGCCGGAGGCAUUCAUAUAGAGUCAUAUUUUGUUCUAAGAAUCGAGUUGUAAUUGUUGAGUUGUAAGAAAAAUAAAAGUGUGAUGAUCAUCAUUUUUAGAGCAUUGUCCCAAGUGAGGAAAGGAUGAUGGAUACUAUGAUUCCCCCACAAGUCGGGAUGAGACUCCAAACGAAAAAAAAGAGGCCAUAAAAAAAGAAAAAAUGCCCAAAUAAAAAAAUAAAAAAAUGAGAGAAAAAGAGAGAAGGGACAAUGGUACUAUCCUUUUACCACACUUGUGCUUCAAAGUAGCACCAUGAUCUUCAUGAUAGAAAGUCUCCUGUGAUAUCACUUUCAUUUACUAGUGGGAAUUUUUCAUUAUAGAACUUGGCUUGUAUAUUCCAAUGAUGGGCUUCCUCAAAAUGCCCUAGGUCUUCGUGAGCAAGCAAGUUGGAUGCACACCCACUUAGUUUCUUUUGUUGAGCUUUCAUAUGCUUAUAGCUCUAGUGCAUCCGUUGCAUGGUAAUCCCUACUCACUCACAUUGAUAUCUAUUGAUGGGCAUCUCCAUAGCCCGUUGAUACGCCUAGUUGAUGUGAGACUACCUUCCCCUCUUUUUGUCUUCUCCACAACCACCAUUCUAUUCCAUAUAUAGUGCUAUAUCCAUGGCUCACGCUCAUGUAUUGUGUGAAGAUUGAAAAAGUUUUGAAAAUGUUAAAGUAUGAAACAAUUGCUUGGCUUGUCAUCGGGGUUGUGCAUGAUUUAAAUACUUUGUGUGGUGAAGAUAGAGCAUAGCCAGACUAUAUGAUUUUGUAGGGAUAACUUUCUUUGGCCAUGUUAUUUUGAGAAGACAUAAUUGCUUUGUUAGUAUGCUUGAAGUAUUAUUAUUUUUAUGUCAAUAUGAACUUUUGUCUUGAAUCUUUCAAAUCUGGAUAUUCAUACCACAAUUAAGAAGAUUUGCAUUGAAAUUAUGCCAAGUAGCACUCCGCAUCAAAAAUUCUCUUUUUAUCAUUUACCUACUCGAGGACGAUCAGGAAUUAAGCUUGGCGAUGCCUGAUACGUCUCCAACGUAUCUAUAAUUUUUGAUUGCUCCAUGCUAUAUUAUCUACUGUUUUGGACUAUAUUGGGAUUUAUUUUCCACUUUUAUAUUAUUUUUGGGACUAACCUAUUAACCGGAGGCCCAGCCCAGAAUUGCUGUUUUUUGCCUAUUUCAGAGUUUCCGAGAAAAAGAAUAUCAAACGGUGUCCAAACGGAAUGAAACCUUCGGGAACAUGAUUUUCUCACCGAACGUGAUCCAGGAGACUUGGACCCUACUCCAAGGAACAAAAGAGGCGGUCACGAGGGUGGGGGCGCGCCCAACCCCCUAGGGCACGCCCCCUGCCUCGUGCUUAGCUUUGGGUUCAAUCUUGCGGUGUCCUUUCCCAGUGAUAGAAGGGGCAGCAAGGCACGUAUUGUAUUGUUGCCAUCGAGGAUAACAAGAUGGGUUUUUUUUUAUCAUAUUGCAUGAAACUAUCCCUCUACAUCAUGUCAUCUUGCUUAAGGCAUUACUCUGUUUUUAACUUAAUACUCUAGAUGCGUGCUGGAUAGCGGUCGAUGAGUGGAGUAAUAGUAGUAGAUGCAGGCAGGAGUCGGUCUACUUGUCUCGGACAUGAUGCCUAUAUACAUGAUCAUACCUAGAUAUUCUCAUAACUAUGCUUAAUUCUGUCAAUUGCUCAACAGUAAUUUGUUCACCCAUCGUAGAAUACUUAUGCUCUUGAGAGAAGCCACUAGUGAAACCUAUGGCCCCCGGGUCUAUUUUCCUCAUAUUAAUCUCCAUCACUUUAAUCUUGCUUGCUUUUUACUUUGCCUUUUUACUUUUCACUUUGCAUCUCUAUACCAAAAAUACCAAAAAUAUUAUCUAUCAUCUCUAUCAGAUCUCACCCCUGUAAGUAACCGUGAAGGGAUUGACAACCCCUAAUCGCGUUGGUUGCGUGGAGCUAUUGUUUUUGUGUAGGUACAAGGGACUUGAGUGUAGCCUCCUACUGGAUUGAUACCUUGGUUCUCAAAAACUGAGGGAAAUACUUAUGCUAUUUUGCUGCAUCAUCCUCUCCUCUUCGGGGAAAUCCAACGCAGUGCUCAAGAGGUAGCAUGGCGUCACCCGAGGGGGGUAGAUUCGGCAAGGCGCUGGAGCGGGGAGGCCGAUGGCUAUGGCGCUGGCCAGGCGGCCGGAACGGCGACCGGCGAGCAGCCGCGGAGGUGCAGAGCGACGUGCGUGGGAGAUGAGCGGAGGCAGCCGCGUGGGGAGGUCAGUGCAGCGCAGUGGAGCCGCGAGCGGCGGCGUGUGGGGAGGCGCAGGGUAUGGGUGAGGCACAUGCACGAUUGGCGUGGUGCGUGCUGCGGCAAGGAAGGCGAUGGCUGGCGUGGAGCUCGGGCGGCAGCAGCAGUAAGCGCCGCGGGAGGACGACGUGGCGUGCAGGGUCGGUGUCAGUGUCAAAACCGGCGGAUCUCGGGUAGGGGGUCCCGAACUGUGCGUCUAGGCAGAUGGUAACAGGAGACAAGGGACACGAUGUUUUUACCCAGGUUCGGGCCCUCUCGAUAGAGGUAAAACCCUAUGCCUGCUUGAUUAAUAUUGAUGAUAUGGGUAGUACAAGAGUAGAUCUACCACGAGAUCAGAGAGGCUAAACCCUACAAGCUAGCCUAUGGUAUGACUGUUGUGUCCUACGGACUAAACCCUCCGGUUUAUAUAGACACCGGAGGGGGCUAGGGUUACAUAGAGUCGGUUACAAGGAAGGAGAUCUACAUAUCCGUAUUGCCAAGCAUGCCUUCCACGCCAAGGAAAGUCCCAUCUGGACACGGGACGACGUCUUCAAUCUUGUAUCCUCAUAGUCCAACAGUCCGGCCGAAGGUUAUAGUCCGGCUGUCCGGAUACCCCCUAAUCCAGGACUCCCUCAGUAGCCCCCGAACCAGGCUUCAUUGACGAUGAGUCCGGCGCGCAGAUUGUCUUCUCCAAUUUCCGAAUACCUGUUAAAUAGUGUCCGACUUCUUGUAAAUGUUGCGCUCCUUGGCUUCCACGCCCAAUAUUGGCCGCCUUCUACGUGUCAAGCGAAUGCGAAGAGCCAGGGUGUUUUUACAUUUACCCCCCUAGCUAUGCAAAUGAGCUGUCUAUUAAAGAGACGAGGAUUCAGAUCCAAACCACACCAUCCUCCCUUAGCGAGCAUUCAUCGGAGAGCACCCAAAAGAAAUACAUUCCAUCAUGGCCAGUCGACGCAGCUCCUCCUCUUGCUCCCCCAUCCCCAAGCCCGGAGAUUGGGAGAGGUGUUCCAUCCCGCACAGCCAACUAGUGAAGCUUCAGACCUAGGGAUUUCUCACCCCAGUGUAUAUGGUCCCGGUUCGAGCCGGGCUCGCCACCUACAAUGGCGGAGAGCAAGCGGAGAGCUUUUCCAAUCCCUCCAAGGGAGAGCGGGUAUGCCUCGUCCCCUAUUUGAUAAGAGGACUCGGAUUUUCAAUUCAUCCGUUUCUCCGGGGGCUCCUGGAGUUCUACGGCCUCCAGUUGCACUGCCUUACCCCUGCAUCCAUACUACAUAUCGCGGGCUAUGUAGCCCUCUGCGAGCUGUUUUUAGGUUGCGAGGCUCAUUUCGCACUGUGGAAGAAGUUGUUCUGCCUUGUGCCCCAUUCUCAGAGGGGGGUCAAUAUAUCAAGUGGGCGGAGCCGAAGUAUGACGCAUCGCCGGGACCAGAUAUCUAUCCGGAACCCCGAAGAAGGCGUCCAAAGACUGGCCUUCAGAGUGGUUUUAUAUAGAAGACGUCCCCCUUCCGGAUCCUAUUCGGAUCGGCCUUCUUGAGUUCGAUAAUGCUCCUUUGAAGAAGCGCCUGAGCUGGCGCCCACGGAGCCCCCAGGAGGAAGAUGACAGAGAUGUCCUUUACCUGAUGAGCCGGAUAAAGUUGUUGGCUCAAUCCAGACUGACCAUGAUCGAAGUCAUGGCAACAUGCAUUAUGCGGGGGGUGCAGCCACUUCAAUAUAGAGGCCACCCCAUGUGGGAUUUCAACGGGGAAGAUGACGCCACCCGCUACGGCCGCAAGGGGUCGGACUCGACCGCUGCUCUAGCAAAAAUCAUGUCCGAUUUGUACAAGGGGGAAGAGGAGGAAUUCCUCCGCGUCAAUCCGCAGGGCAGAUUUUCUAUGUACAAUCCUCCGAGCUGGGUAAGUCAACACCUUUCAUGCCCAUCCGUUCCAUAUUCCCAUAGUUAAGUAUUUUACCUUGUGAUUUCAACGCAGGAGCUGUGUAAGGCUGUAAGGGAGAUCAACAACCCGCCUCCACAACCAGAGGAUCUGGAGCGAUCCCUCCCGGCCUCCCAAGAGGAUCCGGACAUAUCUGUGGAGCUAAUUGAUAGGGUGUUUUACCAAUUAAGCAGCGACAAGGCCUUGGUGGCCAUUACAGCCAAUUACCCUGGGCUGCUCCCGGCUUCGCAGGUAACUGAGACUAAAGUCCCAACAUUUUGAAAAGGAUUCGUCCGUGUGCGCUUUGCUUACCGUACACCAAUGAUGUUUUACAGGGAAGGCCCUCGGGACAUCAUGCCGAGCCUGCAGCAACUAGCCAACAAGGGGCUUCGAGGCCGGGAAGGCUAAAAAGGAAAGCAAUCCGGACUGAGACACCGGCGCAGUGGUAUGACGUGCCUUCUUACUCCAUGGUAUCGUUUUUAAAGGCAUACUAACGCUCAUGCUUUCUUACGAAGAAGAACACUCGCCGGACUAUAUUCGGAGAGGUCGCCAAUCACGCCUCGACCAGUUAGGCUCCAAGGCCAAACCCGGAAGCGGAAGCGAAUACGCCGGAUGCUCCCCCGACAGAGGAUGCGGACAGAAUGUCUGCCACAAAUUCCGAGGUGAAGAGCGCCAUGAACCACAGGCGUCAUCGAGCCAUUCUCCGUGACGCUUGAUUCUCCCAAGAGGCAUUUGAUGCCUUCAAUUCGGGAGACACAUACCUCUGUGCUGCUCAAAAUGGUCUAGCCAGAGCCAUGGACCAAUAUGUAAAGGAUAUACGGGUGAGAGAAUUUGAUGAUUAUAUAUAGUAGUUGCCCCUGAGACUUGAAACAGUUAGAAUAACUGAUUUAAGGAUCAUUUGUUAUGCAGGUUCUUACAGAAAAGAAUACCCAAUUGUCCCAUGAGCUUGAAGAGUGCAAAGCCCAACUUCAGGCCGCACUAGCCGCGGGAGAGGAGUCCAAGAAGACCCCCUCUGGUAAUAUAUGUUUCAAAUGAUAUGUAUCAUGUAGAGUGCGGCAUAUGUGCAAAUCUGACAAUAAAAUUGUAGAUGACGCCGAAGGAAAUCCGGAUGAGCAACAUCUCCUACGCCGGCUAAAGGCUAGCGAGAGCAUGCUUAUGAGGGUUAGGCAGGAGAAGAAUAAUCUCCAGGAUGCCAACACGCAGCUGAGCGUGGAACUAAAGGAUGUUCGUGCCCAACUGUCAGACUCGGUGAAGGAGAAUCAGUGGCUUCGACGCGGCAUUUUCAGUAAGUGCUUGAACGAACUUUUAAGAAGAGUUCGGCGAAGAAGUUGACUAACAGAGUUACGUCUGUAGGUAUGCUAAUAGGUCGUCCCGCGGAAGAAAUGCCCGGGUCUGCGGGUGAUCUUCUGCCCGAGCUCUUACAACUGCACGAACGAGUUCGACAGGUGAUGCAAGGCAUUGCCCAGGCCUUAUGGCCAUCCAUCUCCAUGCCCGAAGGCCUUGGCGAGCUUGCAGAGAAGCUGAAGGGAGCACGGUGGCGCUUCCGAUUAUGGAAGAUAUCAGCCUGCCGUCAAGGUGCCAGGGAGGCCUGGGCCAUGGUGAAGACGUUGUAUACCAAGGCUGACCCAAACCACAUGGCCAAGGUCGGACCUGUGGGGCCCGAUGGGAAAGAGAUCCCUGUUAGCCUAGUGUACGGGCAAGUAGAAUUGGCUGCAAAGUAUUCCCAACAGGAUUGUAGACUAGACAGCCUGUUGGAUGGUAUAGAAUAGGAAUUUAGCCAGUCCAAUUGACUGUGUAAUUAAAGUGACAUGUAGAAUGCCUUCUAGUCGGAUUGUAGAUCAUUUGUCAUGGUGGACCUUUUCGCUUCAACCUCAGGACCCGAUAGUCCGGAGUGUAUCCGAAUACCCUCUCGGUUAUGUAAGAACCGGGGCAUGCUUGGAAAUCAGGCAUAGGGGUCAUUAGUGCUUGAACAGACAAGUGCCCAACUAGUUAUGUUAUAUUACAUGGUUAGUAAGAAACAUCUACCAGGGAGAAUAGUUCCGUUAGGGGUUCCUUUCCCUAAGUAUGCAUGCCCUAAAGUGCAUGUCCGGACUGCGAAAAGAAUCGCAGGAAACAACAUCUGGGGGCAUAUAUAGAAAAUAGGUAAAAAUCGUCUUUUGUUCACCGACCGAAUAUUCCCUUAAGAACGCUAGCUUUCGGCUUCACCCAGUCUGAGGUACACAUCCGGCUGACCCGGCAGUAACAAUUGUAGAGGUGCUCCCCUUAUGCCCUAGCCGAAUUAACGGAAACGUAGGGCAUAAAUACAAGAGCCAGGCAACCUAGCUUGGCCAAAACUUAAGUCAUAUCGAUGUAUAUAAUGGUGAAUAAAAGGUACAUGCGGAAGGAUGACACAUGUGCUGGGCAUGAAGCCCGUAUAAAUAAAUAAGCUUCUGUGAAAUAAGCCCCCAGGUAUAAUGAGCGCGGAUAGCGCGUCAGUUGUGUGCAAACAAGGCACAAAUUGGCCCUUAAAGGCUGUGAGAGAAAAGAAGGGGAGAAGGAGAGAAAUAAAAGACAGAUAGUGUAUAAAAAAUGGACAGAGGAAGGAGACGAACACAGAGUCCGGCGCUAGGCGUAGAAUCUUCAGAGUCUGGCUGCGUUACAUGGGUUCGGCUCGAGUCGAUUAUCCGAUGCAUCCCGCAGACGGUACGCUCCACCAGUCAGAACUUGGUCAAUAAUGAAGGGACCCUUCCAUUUGGGCUUGAGUUUGUCCUUUUUCUUCUCUGAUAGGCGUAGAACUAAUUCGCCAACAUUAUAAGUUUUGGCCCGUACUUCUCUGCUUUGGUAUCUUCGAGUCUGCUGUUGAUAGAAUGCGGAACGGGCUUUUGCCACGUCACGCUCCUCCUCCAGGGCAUCCAAACUGUCCUGCCGAUCGAGCUCGGCUUCUCUUUCUUCGUACAUGCGCACUCUAGGUGAGUCAUGAAUUAUGUCGCAAGGCAGAGCCGCCUCUGUGUCGUAUACCAUAAAGAAUGGUGUGUAUCUGGUAGUGCGAUUUGGCGUGGUCUGCGGCCCCCAGAGUACGGAGUCGAGCUCCUCUACCCAGUGCGUGUUAGAUUCCUUUAGGGACCGCACUAAUCUGGGUUUGAUGCCGCUCAUGAUAAGACCAUUUUCUUGUUCGACUUGACCGUUAGUUUGUGGGUGACAGACGGAAGCAUAAUCGAGCUUGAUGCCCAUGUUUUUGCACCAGAGUUUUACCUCGUCGGCCAUGAAGUUCGUGCCGUUAUCAGUGAUGAUGUUGUGGGGGACGCCAUAAUGGUGUACGACCCCAGAUAUGAAGUCUACCACCGGUCCAGAUUCGGCCGUCUUAACAGGCUUGGCUUCUAUCCACUUGGUGAAUUUAUCCACCAUGACCAGCAAGUAUUUUUUCUUGUGGGUUCCUCCUUUAAGGGGUCCCACCAUGUCAAGCCCCCAGACCGCGAAGGUCCAGGUAAUGGGGAUUGUGUGGAGGGCGGUGGGCGGCAUAUGGCUUUGAUUUGCAAAAAGCUGGCAACCUACGCAGCCUUGGACCAGGUCUAGUGCGUCUGCCCGGGCCAUAGGCCAGUAAAAACCUGUAUGGAAGGCCUUUCUUACAAGGGUCCGGGCUGCGGCGUGGUGGCUGCCGAGUCCGGCAUGAAUUUUUGCCAGAAGCUUUCGCCCUUCUUCUUCGGAGAUGCACCUUUGAAGGACUCCGGUGGUGCUUUUCUUAUAAAGCUCUCCCUCAUGGACAUUGUAGGCUUUAGAUCACUGCACUAUGCAGCAUGCCUCGUUUUGGUCCUCAGGGAGUUCCUGCCUAGUUAAGUAGGCCAGGAAUGGUUCUGUCCAUGGGGCGAUGACAGCCAUUAUAACGUGGGCUAAAGAUGUUAUUUUGGUGGCAGAGCCUCCGAUUAUGUUAGAGUGUUCGGUAUCGGGCAUUGCGGUUGGGUCCAGUUUGUUGUUACCAGUGUCCCCUUCCCAUACCACAGAUGGCUUGAAAAGCCUCUCCAAAAAGAUGUUAGGGGGGACCGCAUCGCGUUUUGCACCGAUGCGUGCGAGGACGUCUGCCGCCUGAUUGUUUUCGCGGGCUAUAUGGUGAAAUUCGAGCCCCUCGAACCGAGCUGACAUUUUUAGGACGGCAUUGCGAUAAGACGCCAUUUUAGGAUCCUUGGCAUUAAAGUCUUCAUUUAUUUGGGAUAUUGUGAGGUUCAAAUCCCCCGGCACCUCUAGGCGUUGAAUGCCCAUGGAUACUGCCAUCCGGAGACCAUGUAGAAGGGCCUCGUAUUCGGCUGCGUUGUUGGAGUCUGUAUACAUUAUCUAGAGUACGUAUUGGACCGUAUCUCCGGUUGGGGACGUCAGAACGAUGCCAGCCCCCAGACCAGCCAGCAUUUUGGAGCCGUCAAAGUGCAUGAUCCAGUUGGAAUAUGCGCCAUACUCUUUAGGGAGCUCGGCUUCCAUCCAUUCGGCGACAAAGUCGGCCAACACUUAUGACUUAAUGGCUCGCCGCGGCUUGUAAGUUAUGUCGAACGGCAGGACCUCAAUGGCCCAUUUGGUAAUCCGGCCCGUGGCAUCACGGUUGUUUAUAAUAUCAUUAAGUGGCACUUCCGAGGCUACUGUUAUCGAACACUCUUGAAAGUAGUGCCGCAACUUCCGGGAUGCCAUGAAUACCGCAUAUGCUAUCUUUUGAUAAUGUGGGUACCGUGACUUGCAUGGAGUAAGGACAGUGGAUACAUAGUAAACCGGCUUUUGAAGGGGGAAUUUAUGUCCGUCCAUUUCUCGUUCGACGACGAGCACUGUGCUCACAACUUGAUGGGUUGCCGCAAUGUAUAACAGCAUUGGUUCACCAAUGUUUGCGCGACCAGGACUGGGUUGGUUUCCAAUAUGGCUUUUAUUUCUUCCAAUCUGGUUGUGGUGGCAUCCGUCCACUCGAAGUGUUCGGUGCACCGUAGGAGGCGAUAAAGGGGUAAUGCCUUUUCUUCCAGGCGGGAGAUAAAGCGGCUUAGAGCCGCCACGCAUCCAGUUAAUUUCUGGAUUUGUUUGAGGUCCAUUGGGAUAUCAAACUGUGACAGAGCUCGGAUCUUCGCCAGAUUUGCUUCAAUUCCUCUGCCGGAUACAAUGAAGCCCAGGAGCUUUCCGGCUGGAACACCGAAAACGCAUUUUUCUGGGUUGAGCUUGAUGUCGUAUGUUCGGAGGUUAUCGAAUGUGAGCCUCAAGUUGUCUACUAGAGAGUCGACAUAUUUGGUUUUGACGGCCACAUCAUCUAUGUAUGCCUCCACUGUUUUGCCGAUCUGGUUUGCCAGACAUGUCUGAAUCAUGCGCUGAUAUGUUGCGCCGGUGUUUUUGAGCCCAAAGGGCAUUGUGUUGAAGCAGAAGGGGCCGUAUGGUAUGAUGAAUGUCGUUUCGGCUUGGUCGGGCUCCACCAUCUUAAUUUGGUGGUAGCCAGAGUAUACGUCAAGGAAACACAAUGAAUCGUGUCCUGCGGUAGCAUCAAUACUUUGAUCAAUGCGGGGGAGGGGGAAGGGAUCCUUUGGGAAAGCCUUGUUGAGGUCCUUGAAAUCGACACACAGGCGCCAGGAUUUGUCCUUCUUUGGUACCAUCACCAGGUUUGCUAGCCAGUCCGGAUGUUUUAUUUCUCUAAUGAAUCCGGCCUCCAGUAACUUGGCUAGUUCCUCUCCCAUGGCUUGUCUCUUAGGUUCAGAGAAACGCCGAAGAGCCUGCUUGACCGGCUUGAAUCCCUUUAGAAUAUUUAGGGUGUGCUCGGCCAGCCUGCGUGGGAUUCCUAGCAUGUCUGAAGGGUGCCAGGCAAAAAUGUCCCAGUUCUCGCGUAGGAACUCUCGUAGCGCGGCGUCUAUGUCGGGUUUUAAUUGUGCGCCGAUGGAAGCUAUUUUUGUAGGGUCCAUUGGAUGGACUUGGAAUUUGACUAUUUCGUCCGCCGGUUUAAAGGAUGUGGACUUGGAUCUCUUAUCGAGUAUCACAUCGUCUCUGUUCACCAUGGAGCGCAGGGCAAUCAGUUCUUCAGCCGCUAGGGCUUUGGAUAUUGCCUCGAGGGCCAGUGCGGCUGUCUUGUUUUCGGCGUGGAGUGUUGUGUCCGGAUCACUAGUAAGAGUGAUAAUUCCGUUGGGCCCGGGCAUUUUGAGCUUCAUGUACCCAUAAUGGGGUAUGGCUUGGAAGAUUGUGAAUGCUUCCCGCCCUAACAGGGCGUGGUAUCCGCUACUGGACGGGGCCACUUGGAACGUAAUCUCUUCGGACCUGUAAUUCUCCGGCGUGCCGAACACCACAUCUAAUGUGAUUUUGCAUGUGCAGCGCGCUUCUCGACUGGGGAUUAUUCCUCUAAAGGUUGUGCUGCUUCGCUCGAUGCGGUUCCGGUCUAUUUCCAUUUUUUGAAGGGUUUCCUCAUAUAUGAGGUUUAAUCCGCUGCCGCCGUCCAUGAGUACCUUGGUGAGUCGAAAGCCGUCCACAAUUGGACUGAGGACCAAUGCGGCUGGUGCUCGGGCUGUUCGGAAUUUAGGUUCGUCACUGGCAUUGAAAGUAAUAGUCGUGUCACUCCAUGGGUUUAUUGUUGCCACGUGGUAGAUUUCGGCAAGGCUGCGGAGUGUUCGCUUUUGCCUAUUAUUUGAUGUGAAGGUCUCGAAGACUGUUAAUACCGUGCUGGUAUCCCUGGGAUGGUGCUCUGUGGCUUCUGGAAUUAGAAGAUCCUCGCCGCUUUUGGCUACCUGCCGGAGUAUCCAACAUGCUCUAAGGCUAUGUGUUGGUAUGGCGCCCUCUGUACUAUGAAUUUUACAGGGUCCAUUGAGCCAUCCCUCCAGUACACUUCCAUGCCCUGUAGAGGGUUUUUGCUUUUUGGUAUUUAACCAGGGUGUCUGGUGAUAAUGCGCCCUUUUAUUUCGGACUGGGUUCGUAUUUAGGGCCGGAUUGUCCCAAAAUUUUAUUUUGGUUUUCCAGGCACUUUCCAUCGCAAAGUACUUUCGUACUAUGGACGCCAAGUUGGCAAAGCGGGUAAUUUCACGGCGACUUGUGGUGUUAAGGAUUCCCUUGUCCGUGCAAUUAUUGCAGAAGAAUGAGAUUGCGUCUUUCUCGCAGCAGUCCUUGAUCCUAUUCAUUACCAGGAGGAAUCUGGCCCAAUAAUGGUGUACUGUUUCCUGGGGCUCUUGCCUGAUAUGGGAAAGAUCUCUUAUGCUUGGGUGGGUGGGUGGAAUUAAAUCCGGAACCCCACCCAAUCUGAGACCCAGGGGCCGAGGAGUUUCCAAUCUUGGAAGUUCGGGUUCUUGGAUGUUGCCCGAUGAAUCUGGCCCGCUUCCUGACUCUAGGUUCAGGGCUUGGGUGAUGUCCUCCCGUAAACGGGUAUCCGGCUCGGAGGGCUCGGGAAUCCGGAGAUAGCUGGUCCUCAAGAUAGAGGAAGGGUCGCCGCAUUGUUCCUCCACCACCGCAACAUGAUGGGUGACCCGGGGAGAGUUAAUUUCUCUUUGAUCAGUUUUAGGCCCAAUCUGACCAUAGUCCGUAGCGACUCCCAGGGUGGCGAUGCGAUCCAAGAGCUCGUUUAGGGAAUAGAGCUCCAUUGGAUCUAACUGCACGGCGAAUUCCGAGUUGACGUGGAGACUGCUUUCGAUGACCCGAGAAGUCAUCGUCGGCGCAGCGGCCAAACAGGCGGUCAUGAGGAAACCACCUAACCGGAGAGUCUGGCCGACAGCCAAAGCUCCCUCAGCAACAACGCCGUCUUUAAAUACGAGAUGAAGCAUCCCUCCUGAUGGCGACGGCACAGCGGAACUCUCAAUGAAAGCACCAAUGUCGGUGUCAAAACCGGCGGAUCUCGGGUAGGGGGUCCCGAACUGUGCGUCUAGGCGGAUGGUAACAGGAGACAAGGGACAUGAUGUUUUUACCCAGGUUCGGGCCCUCUCAAUGGAGGUAAAACCCUACUCCUGCUUGAUUAAUAUUGAUGAUAUGGGUAGUACAAGAGUAGAUCUACCAUGAGAUCAGAGAGGCUAAACCCUAGAAGCUAGCCUAUGGUAUGAUUGUUGUGUCCUACGGACUAAACCCUCCGGUUUAUAUAGACACCGGAGGGGGAUAGGGUUACACAGAGUCGGUUACAAGGAAGGAGAUCUACAUAUCUGUAUUGCCAAGCAUGCCUUCCACGCCAAGGAAAGUCCCAUCCGGACACGAGACGAAGUCUUCAAUCUUGUAUCCUCGUAGUCCAAUAGUCCGGCCGAAGGUUAUAGUCCGACUGUCCGGAUACCCCCUAAUUCAGGACUCCCUCAGUCGGGAUGCAGCAUGGGACCAUGGCGGGACACGGCCAGGAGGUGACGGGAGCUAGCAGGUGGCCUGGCCGCGGCUAGAGCAGAGCAGAGCGGGGGAAGCAAGGGUGAGCCGGAGCGAGCGGGCGCGGCCAGGGUUAGCGCGGGGAGGCGCGGUGGCUGUGACGCACGGGCACGCGUGCGGCCACGUGAACUCAUGGGGUAUUGUAGGGUUCGGGGGCAGCGUUGCUUGGGGAGGAAGACGGGGACGGACGAGAUGCAGGGGAGGCAGUCCGGCAAGGAGGCGUGGUCGAGGCGGCGUCCAGCGAGGGGCGCCGGCGUGGUGGCGACGGGAAUCGGCGUCGGCUCGGUUCGGUUCCCCUUCCCGAUACAGAUUUGGAUCGGGGAAGGAGGAGAGAGCGACGUGGGAGGUGAAGGAAAUAUGCCCUAGAGGCAAUAAUAAAGUUAUUAUUUCUUUCCUUAUAUCAUGAUAAAUGUUCAUUAUUCAUGCUAGAAUUGUAUUAACCGGAAACAUAAUACAUGUGUGAAUACAUAGACAAACAGAGUGUCACUAGUAUGCCUCUACUUGACUAGCUCGUUGACCAAUAAUGGUUAUGUUUCCUAGCCAUAGACAUGAGUUGUCAUUUGAUUAACGGGAUCACAUCAUUAGGAGAAUGAUGUGAUUGACAUGACCCAUUCCGUUAGCUUAGCACACGAUCGUUUAGUAUGUUGCUAUUGCUUUCUUCAUGACUUAUACAUGUUUCUAUGAAUAUGAGAUUAUGCAACUCCCAUUUACCGGAGGAACACUUUGUGUGCUACCAAACGUCACAACGUAACUGGGUGAUUAUAAAGGUGCUCUACAGGUGUCUCCGAAGGUAUUUGUUGGGUUGGCGUAUUUCGAGAUUAGGAUUUGUCACUCCGAUUUUUGGAGAGGUAUCUCUGGGCCCUCUCGGUAAUGCACAUCACUUAAGCCUUGCAAGCAUUGCAACUAAUGAGUUAGUUGCGGGAUGAUGUAUUACGGAACGAGUAAAGAGACUUGCCGGUAACGAGAUUGAACUAGGUAUUGAGAUACCGAUGAUCGAAUCUUGGGCAAGUAACAUACCGAUGACAAAGGGAACAACGUAUGUUGUUAUGCGGUCUGACCGAUAAAGAUCUUUGUCGGUGUCAAAACCGGCGGAUCUCGGGUAGGGGGUCCCGAACUGUGCGUCAAGGUCGGAUGGUAACAGGAGACAAGGGACACGAAGUUUUUUACCCAGGUUCGGGCCCUCUCGAUGGAGGUAAUACCCUACUCCUGCUUGAUUAAUAUUGAUGAUAUGGGUAGUACAAGAGUAGAUCUACCACGAGAUCAAGGAGGCUAAACCCUAGAAGCUAGCCUAUGGUAUGAUUGUUGUGUAUAUUGUAUUGUCUAUCUAUCGACUAGCCUGACCUCGGUUUAUAUAAUGCACCGGAGGCCUAGGAUAACAAGAGUCCUAGCCGAAUACGCCGGUGGGGAGAAGUCCUUGUCUUGAUCGCCAAGUCUUGUGGAAUCUUCCUUGUAUGCGGUAGCCGUCCGAACUGGCCCAUGAGUAUACGGCCACGGGGGUCCUCGGCCCAAUCUAAUAGACCGGGAGACGGCAUGGUGAGUACCCCCUAGUCCAGGACACCGUCAGUAGCCCCCUGAACCGGUCUUCAAGUUAGGGACGCUCCUCGAUUCUUCCGAACUGUUCUUCAUCUUCGGUUGCCGGUCUUGAAAACUGGUUCAACAAAUCUUCUUUAUCUUCGAUCUUGAGGAUCGCCGAAAUGCGUUCGACGAGUUUACACGUCGGGUAUCCGAGGAGCCCCUUUAAGUUUCCGGCCUUUAUCAAUGCCUUGUUUAUUUUUAUGCCACACCUCGAGUUUGAAGUUGUUCCCGGGAGGCAGGGUCCUCUUGCGUCCGAGCUCCAACGCCGGACUGCAUUCGAGGUAUCUUUUGCAGCCGAGCAUCAACGCCGGACCGCUUCCUAGCUCUAGCGCUGGAAUGUAUCCGAGCUCCAACUCCGGACUAUGUAUCCAAGCUCCAACGUCGGACUGUAUGUCCAAGCUCCAACGCCGAAAUAUAUCCGAGCUCCAAUGCCGAACUGUGUCCAGGCUCCAAUGCCGGACUAUAUCCGAGGUGUCAUAUCACCUUGGUUCAAAAAAGUUGAAGGAGUUUAGCCGAGCUUAAUGCCGGAAAUGCCCUCUAUGGAGCCAGCCACUAGCGCCCGAGCUUUAUGCCGGACUGCUUCCGAGGUGGUGCACCACCCCAACUAUGGGCCGAUUUUUUGUCAGUAUUUUUUAUUGGUGCAAUUUAUUCUCUGCCGAGAUAUAUAGCCAGUAGCCCUCAAGGUGUGUAUCGGUCUAAAAACCCGAGAUGCACAUGAAGGAUGACAUAAGACCACUGAUCUCAGUAGCCGCUGAGACUCAGGUUGAUUUGCAAAAUCGGCCUGAGGAUCAAGUCCUAGCUCGGCAGAAUACUUCGGGACACAAAAGCGGCGUGCUCACUCCUCAAGACUCAGGUUGGGUGCGGCCGACCAACCUGAGGAUCAAAAUCUCCUCGGAAACUAUAUUGCACAUAAAAUUUUCUGCAUUGGACAAGCAAUGCAGUAGCCCCCGAGACACUGGUCGGGUGGCAACACUAGAUCAGGGGAUCGAUGUGCCCCUUUAAUAUUUGUAAAUAAUAAGCCCGAAGCCCAGUAGCCCCCGAGCCUUAAUGCGGGCAUGGGUGGCCGAAUUAAGGAUCAAUAUCCAUAGUAAAAUCACAAAUUAUGUGUAAUGACUCUAUGUAUCCAAGUACUUUACGUCAUUAAUGCUCGGAUCCGCAUUGUACACAACUUUGUUGACCGACCAUCGGCUUCCACCUCCUUGGCCAGUAGCCGAGGAGUGUUUGUCCUACUUUAUAAAGCCUUUAUGAGGGCAAAGAUUUACGACAAACAAGGCAAUCUGGCCACACGGUUUUAUAAACAAAGGUACGCAGAGAGAUAUGUUAUAUUACUGUUUAACAGAAGAAAUGUAUUCCAAAGAAAAUAGUCCCGCUAUCGGUUCCUUUCUUUGGGUUGUCAUGCUAAGCAUGAUCAUGAAACCUCAACUCGAAUGUAAGAGCAAAAUGUCGAGGAUUUAGUUUGGGAGGCCAGUUAAUAGCCCCCGGUAGUGUUCGGCGACAGUCGAGGUCAAGCCGUAAACACUUCGGCCAAUGUUAUGAAUGGCCCGUCAUAGUCAUUGGAUCGCUGACCAGUUUACGCUUAUUAUGACAGUCAGUUUUCGGCUUUCUCCACUAAGGUGCUUAACCAUGUGAGAUGGAAGCACAAUCGCAGUGGUUCUCCCUUUGCACGCCUAGCCAAACAAAACGGAACGUAGGAAGCAAGUGCAGGAGCCGGGCAACCCAACUAUUGACCGAAGACACAAUUCGAACCUGAUGCAUAUAUAGCAAUAUCCGAGAAUGUUUUUGCCGAAUCCCUAAAUGUGUCCGGCAUUGCACUGCGAGACUAAUGCUGGAAAAGCACAAAUAGUUUAAAAGUGCCAAAAAGCUUGGAAAACCAAGAAACGUCAGUAAAAACAUGACGUCCGAACAAGAUCAAGUGUUCGGUGCCAAUCCGAAAAUUGGUCUUAGAAAAAAGAAGUGCUUCUGUCGUCCUUUAACAUGACACAUCCUAUCUCAAGACUUCGAGCGGGUUAGCCUACGGCUUCAACCUCCUAUCCCGAGGGCGGAGUACUUCUCAUUAGGCCAGUUUAGCAAACUAAACUCUAGCGGCUUUGAGAGAGAAAUUAGGCUCCCCGGCUAGUGACCGCACACUCGUGUCGAAAAAAGGAGUGAUAAAUAAUAAUAAAACUUUGCAACGACUAAGAAGAACACUUAUUAUAAAACGGCUCAAAUAAACUUAAGAGCCCCCAAGUGACUUGGGUAGAAGAAUGAUUGCAUGUACCGAAGUACUUAUAUCAUAUCUAUGUUCAACCAAACUUUAAACGCGUCUUAACCGACCAUCAGUUUCUCCCUCUUCGGUCAAGGACCGAAAAGUGUUAUGUACUCCAUCGGUCGAGAAUAUCGAUGGUGUUUCCAAUAACCAGGCAAUCAGGCCAUAAGGCUGUAACAGACAAAGCGCGCUCAGGGAACUUAUGCUAUAUUACCGUGAAGUGUAAGAAGCAUCUUCGAAGAAAAUAGUACCCCCACCGAUACCUUUCUUCGGUGCUCAUUGUUAUUAUGAGACUUGUGCAAUAGAUUUUUUGUACUCAUGAGUUCCGUUGUGUGCCGACCAUCAUUGAAAACUAUAAGAGCGCUAGCUUUCGGCUUCACCCAGUCUGAGGUCCGGCUCGGUUGACCUGAUCAUGACAAUCGCAGAGGUGCUCCCUUUACUCCCUAGCCGACCAAUCGGAACGUAGGGGUAAACACAGGAGCGAGGCAACCCAGCUUGCAAAUCGCUUAAGUCAAUAUGGUGCAUAUUGUGGCGUAAUACACGAACAAGGAACGAAGCCGUACAAGUAUAAUCAUAUGCAACAGGAAAAAGCUUCAUAAAGGAAGCCCCCAAGUAAACGGGGUAUUUGAAUUUAUGCGUCACAAACAAAGUUUGGACAAGGAAAUUUUUUACAAGCAACUUUUUUCCAAAAAAAGUAUAAUGCUUGGUCGAACCGAGCACAAGUUAGAAAUUAAAGCUUUGAGCAUGAAAGCGACUUAGCUGGUUAAUGUGUUCGGUAUUGAUGACGCGGUCCGAGCUUGAUGCGGGGCAAGGUUCCAUCCCCCAAGCCGAUCCCGAGGUGGCGGAGCGGAGAGCUUGACACGCCGAAGUGGUGACAUAGCACGGUCAAUGCAGACCGGCAGAGUGACGCCAAAGUCCCCGGAUCAUUUUCCUGUGCAUAAAAAAUAGUGCAAACCGGAGAUAAUAGUAAUAAUGAUAAUUAAAAAAAUGUUGCAUAAUAAAUAAUUUAUGCAAAGUGAGGAAUAGAAGAAAUAUGGCCUGGCGCCGAAGUCAAUGUCGAUGCAGGGCAUCGGCGUGAUGUAGUAGAGGCGUGGCAAAGCCUGAAUUCACAGGUCGAUCCGAGCUCCGGAUGUGGCGUUCGCCGGACUAUGUACGGAAACUGAUCAAACCACCACGCGACCGUCAUUAAUGCGGUCACCAUUUGAUAGACCUGUGUACAUAUCAUGGACAAACCAGAGUAAUAAUUCCUUGGGAAAAAUGAAUCCAAACAAGCAAAAAAUACUGGGAUUAAUAGCACCUGGUUUAUUUGUUGUAGCAAUCCGAAGGAAGGUGAUUCCCAAAAUUGGGACUCGCUCCGCACACCCAUUGCCUGAUGGGCGAUAAAAAGAUGGCAUGGUAAUGCUGGUAAAGGUUGACUCGCCGAGGCAAAGCCCUCGGCCCAGCUAACGUGACGGAGCUGGUCGGCUAGUGACGCCGAAGCGUCCGAAGUAGGUUGAUGAAGAGAUGGCGAAGCCCCCGGUCCAGCCGAGAUGUCAAAGCCUCGACGUCAGCCGAUGAGUCGAAGAAGGUCGGCGUGAUGGACACCAGCUUGAAGAAGCAAUAGUGCGGUCAUGUCGAUGCAGGUCCUAACGUGGUCGAUGCCGGCUUGAUGAAGCAACCGUGCGGUGAUGCCGGUAUGCCCGCUCCGUGUAAUCCGUGGGGCGGCGAUGUUGAUGAUGAUUUAUCGUUUGCGAUGCCGAACUGUUGUUCAGCUUGCCGAGGUGAUGAUCCGAAGAAGUUGAGCUCGGCUCAAUAAAGUGACGACGUGUCUAGCGCAGGUCGGCAGCCGUGGAGCAAUAUUGCCGGACUGGUUUGACACCAGCAUGAUAUGGAAGAUCAUCUUCAAAAGAUUUUAAAGUUGGGAUUUGUUCGGAAACAAAACACAAUACCCCAUACAAAACUUCCUUCAAAAGGGAUGUCCGAAAUCCCGUUCAUAAAAAAGAUGAACUCGGGUCGGAUUCGUUUUCGCGCAGAAAAUAGAUCUGAAAAGUGAUGCACUAAUCGGAAGGUUUCAGGAGUUUGGACGGUCGGAUCGAGCCGAAAUUUUCAGAGGUGGUAGAUAUAGGAAUUCCGUAGCCGAUCAACGGUUGGAUCUCCCAAAGGACGUCCGAGCUAGAAGCUGGACACCACGCCCUAAACUCGUCCAGAUUCCCGUCCAGAUUUGACAGGGCUCCGGUAUAUCGCGGAUUGCCAGAGAUUCCUCCAUCGGAACUCGACGAAAUUUUCCAGGGUUGUUGUAGACCCAAUUCCACACAAUGCCACAAAAGAAAUCGUUAAAGCGAUACUCGAGGAGGUGGUGGCGGCAGAUACGAGUUCGUUGUUCAAAAAAAACAGCACGGUCGCUUGAGGGAAAUGUUGACGUUGAGCGCCCGAGCUCCAUAGAUAAUUCCUCCGUGAUCUUGAUAGAGAUCGGAGUUGAUGUUUGAUGAAGGCCCUCGUCCAAACAUGGUGAUCCGAAUACGGGGCGCAAUUCUUGGUCGAACCAAGGUGACCAGUCGAACUGGUGACGAAGACGCCGAAGUCGCAGUUGAUCUGCACGCGAGCCAUCGAUCUUUUUGUCGAUCACACAGCGGAACUCUCAAUGAAAGCACCAAUGUCGGUGUCAAAACCGGCGGAUCUCGGGUAGGGGGUCCCGAACUGUGCGUCAAGGCCGGAUGGUAACAGGGGACAAGGGACAUGAAGUUUUUUACCCAGGUUCGGGCCCUCUUGAUGGAGGUAAUACCCUACUCCUGCUUGAUUAAUAUUGAUGAUAUGGGUAGUACAAGAGUAGAUCUACCACGAGAUCAAGGAGGCUAAACCCUAGAAGCUAGCCUAUGGUAUAAAUGUUGUGUAUAUUGUAUUGUCUAUCUAUCGACUAGCCUGGCCUCGGUUUGUAUAAUGCACCGGAGGCCUAGGAUAACAAGAGUCCUAGCCGAAUACGCCGGUGGCGAGAAGUCCUUGUCUUGAUCGCCAAGUCUUGUGGAAUCUUCCUUGUAUGCGGUAGCCGUCCGAACUGGCCCAUGAGUAUACAGCCACGGGGGUCCUCGGCCCAAUCUAAUAGAUCAGGAGACGACGUGGUGAGUACCCCCUAGUCCAGGACACCGUCAAUCUUCGUAGAAUAUGUGGGAGCCAAUAUGAGCAUCCAGGUUCCGCUAUUGGUUAUUGACCGGAGACGUGUCUCGGUCACGUCUACAUAGUUCUCGAACCCGUAGGGUCCGCACGCGUAACGUUUCGAUGACAGUUAUAUUAUGAGUUUAUAUGUUUUGAUGUAUCGAAGGUUGUUCAGAGUCCCGGAUGUGAUCAUGGACAUGACGAGGAGUCUCAAAAUGGUCAAGACAUGAAGAUUGAUAUAUUGGAAGCCUAUGUUUGGAUAUCGAAAGUGUUCCAGGUGAAAUCGGGAUUUUACCGGAGUACCGGAGGGGUUACCGAAACCCCCCGGGGGUUAAUGGGCCUUAGUGGGCCUUUGCGGAGAAGAGGAGAGGCGGCCAGGGCUGGGCCGGAGCCCUUCCCCCUAGUCCGAAUAGGACAAGGAGAGGGGGCGGCGGCCCCCUUCCUUCCUCUCUCCCUCCUCUUUCCCCCCAAGUCCUAAUCCAACUAGGAAAGGGGGCAGUCCUACUCCCGAUGGGAGUAGGACUCCUCCUGGCGCGCCCCCUCUAGGCCGGCCGCACCUCCCCCCUUGCUUCUUUAUAUAUGGGGGCAGGGGGCACCCUAGAGACACAACAAUUGAUCGUUUGGUCCUUUAGGCGUGUGCGGUGCCCCCCUCCACCAUAGUCCACCUCGAUGAUACUGUAGAGGUGCUGAGGCGAAGCCCUGCGUCGGUAGAACAUCAUCAUCGUCACCACGCCGUUGUGCUGACGAAACUCUCCCUCAACACUCAGCUGGAUCGGAGUUAGAGGGACGUCAUCGGGCUGAACGUGUGCUGAACUCGGAGGUGCCGUGCGUUCGGUACUUGAUCGGUCGGAUCGUGAAGACGUACGACUCCAUCAACCCCGUUGUGCUAACGCUUCCGCUUUUGGUCUACGAGGGUACGUGGACAACACUCUCCCCUCUUGUUGCUAUGCAUCACCAUGAUCUUGCGUGUGCGUAGGAUUUUUUUUGAAAUUACUACGUUCCCCAACAGUGGUAUCCGAGCCAGGUUUUAUGCGUAGAUGUCAUAUGCACGAGUAGAACACAAGUGAGUUGUGGGCGAUAUAAGUCAUACUGCUUACCAGCAUGUCAUACUUUGGUUCGGCACUAUUGUUGGAUGAAGCGGCCCGGACCGACAUUAUGUGUACGCUUACGCGAGACUGGUUCUACCGACGUGCUUUGCACAUAGGUGGCUGGCGGGUGUCAGUUUCUCCAACUUUAGUUGAACCGAGUGUGGCUAUGCCCGGUCCUUGCGAAGGUUAAAAAAGCAUCAACUUGACAAACUAUCGUUGUGGUUUUGAUGCGUAGGUAAGAACGGUUCUUGCUAAGCCCGUAGCAGCCACGUAAAAUUUGCAACAACAAAGUAGAGGACGUCUAACUUGUUUUUGCAGGGCAUAUUGUGAUGUGAUAUGGUCAAGACAUGAUGCUAAAUUUUAUUGUAUGAGAAGAUCAUGUUUUGUAACCGAGUUAUCGGCAACUGGCAGGAGCCAUAUGGUUGUCGCUUUAUUGUAUGCAAUGCAAUCACCCUGUAAUGCUUUACUUUAUCACUAAGCGGUAGCGAUAGUCAUAGAAGCAUAAGAUUGGCGAGACGACAACGAUGCUACGAUGGAGAUCAAGGUGUCGCGCCGGUGACGAUGGUGAUCAUGACGGUGCUUCGGAGAUGGAGAUCACAAGCACAAGAUGAUGAUGGCCAUAUCAUAUCACUUAUAUUGAUUGCAUGUGGUGUUUAUCUUUUAUGCAUCUUAUCUUGCUUUGAUUGACGGUAGCAUUAUAAGAUGAUCUCUCACUAAAUUUCAAGAUAAAAGUGUUCUCCUUGAGUAUGCACCGUUGCCAAAGUUCGUCGUGCCCAGACACCACGUGAUGAUCAGGUGUGAUAAGCUCUACGUCCAUCUACAACGGGUGCAAGCCAGUUUUGCACACGCAGAAUACUCAGGUUAAACUUGACGAGCCUAGCAUAUGCAGAUAUGGCCUCGGAACACUGAGACCGAAAGGUCGAGCGUGAAUCAUAUAGUAGAUAUGAUCAACAUACUGAUGUUCACCAUUGAAAACUACUCCAUUUCACGUGAUGAUCGGUUAUGGUUUAGUUGAUUUGGAUCACGUGAUCAUUUAGAAGAAUAGAGGGAUGUCUAUCUAAGUGGGAGUUCUUAAGUAAUAUGAUUAAUUGAACUUAAAUUUAUCACGAACUUAGAACCUGAUAGUAUCUUGCUUGUCUAUGUUGAUUGUAGAUAGAUGGCACGUGUUGUUGUUCUGUUGAAUUUUAAUGCGUUCCUUGAGAAAGCAAAGUUGAAAGAUGAUGGUAGCAAUUACACGCACUGGGUCCGUAACUUGAGGAUUAUCCUCAUUGCUGCAUAGAAGAAUUACGUCCUGGAAGCACUGCUGGAUGCCAGGCCUGCUGCUGAUGCAACUGACGACGUUAAGAACGUCUGGCAGAGCAAAGCUGAUGACUACUCGAUAGUUCAAUGUGCCAUGCUUUACGGCUUAGAACUGGGACUUCAACGACGUUUUGAACGUCAUGGAGCAUAUGAGAUGUUCCAGGAGUUGAAGUUAAUAUUUCAAGCAAAUGCCCAGAUUGAGAGAUAUGAAGUCUCCAAUAAGUUCUACAGCUGCAAGAUGGAGGAGAAUAGUUCUGUCAGUGAGCAUAUACUCAAAAUGUCUGGGUAUACUAAUCACUUGAUUCAACUGGGAGCUAAUCUUCCGGAUGAUAGCGUCAUUGAUAGAAUUCUCCAAUCACUGCCACCAAGCUACAAGAGCUUUGUGAUGAACUAUAACAUGCAAGGGAUGGAUAGGACGAUUCCCGAGCUCUUCGCAAUGCUAAAGGCUACGGAGGUAGAAAUCAAAAAGGAGCAUCAAGUGUUGAUGGUCAAUAAGACCACCAGUUUCAAGAAAAGGGGCAAAGGGAAGAAGAAGGGGAACUUCAAAAAGAACAGCAAACAAGUUGCUGCUCACGAGAAGAAACCCAAGUCUGGACCUAAGCCUGAAACUGGGUGCUUCUACUGCAAGCAGACUGGUCACUGGAAGCGCAACUGCCCCAAGUAUUUGGCGGAUAAGAAGGAUGGCAAGGUGAACAAAGGUAUAUGUGAUAUACAUGUUAUUGAUGUGUACCUUACCAGAGCUCGCAGUAGCACCUGGGUAUUUGAUACUGGUUCUGUUGCUAAUAUUUGCAACUCGAAACAGGGACUACAGAUUAAGCGGACACUGGCUAAGGAUGAGGUGACGAUGUGUGUGGGAAACGGUUCCAAAGUCGAUGUGAUCUCCGUCGGCACGCUACCUCUACAUCUACCUUCAGGAUUAGUAUUAGACCUAAAUAAUUAUUAUUUGGUGCCAGCGUUGAGCAUGAAUAUUAUAUCUGGAUCUUGUUUGAUGCGAGAUGGUUAUUCAUUUAAAUCAGAGAAUAAUGGUUGUUCUAUUUAUAUGAGUAAUAUCUUUUAUGGUCAUGCAUCCUUGAAGAGUGGUCUAUUUUUUAUGAACCUCGAUAGUAGUGAUAGACAUAUUCAUAAUAUUGAAGCCAAGAAAUGCAGAGUUGAUAAUGAUAGUGCAACUUAUUUGUGGCACUACCGUUUAGGUCAUAUCGGUAUAAAGCGCAUGAAGAAACUCCAUACUGAUGGACUUUUGAAACCUCUUGAUUAUGAAUCACUUGGUACUUGCGAACCGUGCCUCAUGGGCAAGAUGACUAAAACGCCAUUCUCCGGAACUAUGGAGAGAGCAACAGAUUUGUUGGAGAUCAUACAUACAGAUGUAUGUGGUCCGAUGAAUGUUGAGGCUCGCGGCGGAUAUCGUUAUUUUCUCACCUUCACAGAUGAUUUAAGCAGAUAUGGGUAUAUCUACUUAAUGAAACAUAAUCUGAAACAUUUGAAAAGUUCAAAGAAUUUCAGAGUGAAGUUGAAAAUCAUCAUAACAAGAAAAUAAAGUUUCUAUGAUCUGAUCGUGGAGGAGAAUAUUUGAGUUAGGAGUUUGGUCUACAUUUGAAACAAUGCAGAAUAGUUUCGCAACUCACGCCACCCGAAACACCACAGCGUAAUGGUGUGUCCGAACAUCGUAAUCGUACUUUACUGGAUAUGGUGCGAUCUAUGAUGUCUCUUACUGAUUUACCGCUAUUGUUUUGGGGUUAUGAUUUAGAGACGACCGCAUUCACGUUAAAUAGGGCACCACAAAAAUCCGUUGAGACAACGCCUUAUGAACUAUGGUUUGGCAAGAAACCAAAGUUGUCGUUUCUUAAAGUUUGGGGCUGCAAUGCUUAUGUGAAAAAGCUUCAACCUGAUAAGCUCGAACCCAAAUCGGAGAAAUGUGUCUUCAUAGGAUACCCAAAGAAAACUGUUGGGUACACCUUAUAUCAUAGAUCCAAAGGCAAGACAUUCGUUGCUAAGAAUGGAUCCUUUCUAGAGAAGGAGUUUCUCUCGAAAGAAGUGAGUGGGAGGAAAGUAGAACUUGAUGAGGUAAUUGUACCUGCUCCCUUAUUGGAAAGUAGUUCAUCACAAAAACCGGUUCAUGGGACGUCUAUACCAACUAGUGAGGAAGUUAAUGAUGAUGAUCCUGAAACUUCAGAUCAAGUUAUUACUGAACCUCGUAGAUCAACCAGAGUAAGAUCCGCACCAGAGUGGUACGGUAAUCCUGUUCUGGAAGUCAUGUUACUAGACCAUGAUGAACCUACGAACUAUGAAGAAGCGAUGGUGAGCCCAGAUUCCGCAAAAUGGCUUGAGGCCAUGAAAUCUGAGAUGGGAUCCAUGUAUGAGAACAAAGUGUGGACUUUGGUUGACUUGCCUGAUGAUCGGCAAGCAAUUGAGAAUAAAUGAAUCUUCAAUAAGAAGACCAACGCUGACGGUAAUGUUACUGUCUACAAAGCUCAACUUGUUGCGAAAGGUUUUCGACAAGUUCAAGGGAUUGACUACGAUGAGACUUUCUCACUCGUAGCGAUGCUUAAGUCUGUCCGAAUCAUGUUAGCAAUUGCCGCAUUUUAUGAUUAUGAAAUAUGGCAGAUGGAUAUCAAAACUGCAUUCCUGAAUGGAUUUCUGGAAGAAGAGUUGUAUAUGAUGCAACCGGAAGGUUUUAUCGAUCCAAAGGGAGCUAACAAAGUGUGCAAGCUCCAGCGAUCCAUUUAUGGACUGGUGCAAGCCUCUCGGAGUUGGAAUAAACGCUUUGAUAGUGUGAUCAAAGCAUUUUGUUUUGUACAGACUUUUGGAGAAGCCUGUAUUUACAAGAAAGUGAGUGGGAGCUCUGUAGCAUUUCUGAUAUUAUAUGUGGAUGACAUAUUGCUGAUUGGAAAUGAUAUAGAAUUUCUGGAUAGCAUAAAGGGAUACUUGAAUAAGAGUUUUUCAGUGAAAGACCUCGGUGAAGCUGCUUAUAUAUUGGGCAUCAAGAUCUAUAGAGAUAGAUCAAGACGCUUAAUUGGACUUUCACAAAGCACAUACCUUGACAAAGUUUUGAAGAAGUUCAAAACGGAUCAACCAAAGAAAGGGUUCUUGCCUGUGUUACAAGGUGUGAAUUUGAGUAAGACUCAAUGCCCGACCACUGCAAAAGAUAGAGAGAAGACGAAAGAUGUUCCCUAUGCUUCAGCCAUAGGCUCUAUCAUGUAUGCAAUGCUGUGUACCAGACCUGAUGUGUGCCUUGCUAUAAGUUUAGCAGGGAGGUACCAAAGUAAUCCGGGAGUGGAUCACUGGACAGCGGUCAAGAACAUCCUGAAGUACCUAAAAAGGACUAAGGAUAUGUUUCUCGUUUAUGGAGGUGACAAAGAGAUCAUCAUAAAUGGUUAUGUUGAUGUAAGCUUUGACACUGAUCCGGACAAUUCUAAAUCGCAAACCGGAUACGUGUUUACAUUGAAUGGUGGAGCUGUCAGUUGGUGCAGUUCUAAACAAAGCGUCGUGGCGGGAUCUACGUGUGCAGCGGAGUACAUAGCUGCUUCGGAAGCAGCAAAUGAAGGAUUCUGGAUGAAUGAAUUCAUAUCCGAUCUAGGUGUCAUACCUAGUGCAUCGGGUCCGAUGAAAAUCUUUUGUGACAAUACUGGUGCAAUUGCCUUGGCGAAGGAAUCCAGAUUUCACAAGAGAACCAAGCACAUCAAGAGACGCUUCAAUUCCAUCCGGGAUCUAGUCCAGGUGGGAGACAUAGAAAUUUGCAAGAUACAUACAGAUCUGAAUGUUGCAGACCCGUUGACUAAGCCUCUUCCACGAGCAAAACAUGAUCAGCACCAAGACUCCAUGGGUGUUAGGAUCAUUACUAUGUAAUCUAGAUUAUUGACUCUAGUGCAAGUGGGAGACUGAAGGAAAUAUGCCCUAGAGGCAAUAAUAAAGUUCUUAUUUAUUUCCUUAUAUCAUGAUAAAUGUUUAUUAUUCAUGCUAGAAUUGUAUUAACCGAAAACAUAAUACAUGUGUGAAUACAUAGACAAACAGAGUGUCACUAGUAUGCCUCUACUUGACUAGCUCGUUGAACAAAGAUGGUUAUGUUUCCUAGCCAUAGACAUGAGUUGUCAUUUGAUUAACGGGAUCACAUCAUUAGGAGAAUGAUGUGAUUGACAUGACCCAUUCCGUUAGCUUAGCACACGAUUGUUUAGUAUGUUGCUAUUGCUUUCAUCAUGACUUAUACAUGUUCCUAUGACUAUGAAAUUAUGCAACUCCUGUUUACCGGAGGAACACUUUGUGUGCUACCAAACGUCACCUGGGUGAUUAUAAAGGUGCUCUACAGGUGUCUCCGAAGGUAUUUGUUGGGUUGGCGUAUUUCGAGAUUAGGAUUUGUCACUCUGAUUGUUGGAGAGGUAUCUCUGGGCCCUCUCGGUAAUGCACAUCACUUAAGCCUUGCAAGCAUUGCAACUAAUGAGUUAGUUGCGGGAUGAUGUAUUACGGAACGAGUAAAGAGACUUGCCGGUAACGAGAUUGAACUAGGUAUUGAGAUACCUACGAUCGAAUCUCGGGCAAGUAACAUACCGAUGACAAAGGGAACAACGUAUGUUGUUAUGCGGUCUGACCGAUAAAGAUCUUCGUAGAAUAUGUGGGAGCCAAUAUGAGCAUCCAGGUUCCGCUAUUGGUUAUUGACCGGAGACGUGUCUCGGUCAUGUCUACAUAGUUCUCGAACCCGUAGGGUCCGCACGCUUAACGUUUCGAUGACAGUUAUAUUAUGAGUUUAUAUGUUUUGAUGUAUCGAAGGUUGUUCGGAGUCCCGGAUGUGAUCACGGACAUGACGAGGAGUCUCGAAAUGGUUGAGACAUGAAGAUUGAUAUAUUGGAAGCCUAUGUUUGGAUAUCGGAAGUGUUCCAGGUGAAAUCGGGAUUUUACCGGAGUACCGGAGGGGUUACUGGAACCCCCCGGGGGUUAAUGGGCCUUAGUGGGCCUUUGCGGAGAAGAGGAGAGGCGGACAGGGCUGGGCCGCGCGCCCCUCCCCCCUUCCUUCCUCUCUCCCUCCUCUUUCCCCCCAAGUCCUAAUCCAACUAGGAAAGGGGGGGGGUCCUACUCCCGGUGGGAGUAGGACUCCUCCUGGCACGCCCCCUCUAGGCCGGCCGCACCUUCCCCCUUGCUCCUUUAUAUAUGGGGGCAGGGGGCACCCUAGAGAAACAACAAUUGAUCGUUUGAUCUUUUCGCCGUGUGCGGUGCCCCCCUCCACCAUAGUCCACCUCGAUAAUACUGUAGCGGUGCUUAGGUGAAGCGUUGCGUCGGUAGAACAUCAUCAUCGUCACCAUGCCGUCGUGCUGACGAAACUCUCCCUCAACACUCGGCUGGAUCGGAGUUCGAGGGACGUCAUCGGGCUGAACGUGUGUUGAACUCGGAGGUGUCGUGCGUUCGGUACUUGAUCGGUCGGAUCGUGAAGACGUACGACUACAUCAACCGUGUUGUGCUAACGCUUCCGCUUUCGGUCUACGAGGGUACGUGGACAACACUCUCCCCUCUCGUUGCUAUGCAUCACCAUGAUCUUGCGUGUGCGUAGGAAUUUUUUUGAAAUUACUACGUUCCCCAACAGGAGGGGGGAGAAGUGGGUGCGGUUAGGGUUUGGGGUCGGGGGGAGUGGCCUUGUAGGCCAGAGAGAAUGGGGUGGGCCGUGGGCUGGCCUAGCGACCCAGAGGCCAGGGGGUCCUGCUCUUUUUUUGUUUCCUUUGUUUGUUUUGUUUUUUUACUUUUAUUUUCCUUAUCUUAUUUCAUUUAUGUUUCUUUUAAUUCCUAUUUAUAAUAGUUUCAUUAACAUGCCAAAGUGGCACCUAAAUUGAUGUUACCAGCUAUGCCACUGUCACAUUAAUUUACUACCCAAACUAAAAACAGUUUUGUAAUUGUUCAUUAUGUAAAUAUCAUUUAAAUAAUAGUUUUACUGCUGUUUUAUUUACUAUAGUGCAUUUAAACACUUUUAUAAAAGUGUGGUUUCACCAACAUAAUUACUUAUGAUAUAUUUCACGCUUAGUGCAUUUUAGUUUUAAUGUUUGAAAACUUCUAGUGUUUGACUUAAAUUCAAAUUUGAAUUUGAAUCUGUUUUUGAACUAACGCAAGAUUAACAACAUUAAUCGUGGUGUCGUGGCAUAAUUAAUGUGGGAUUACUGUAGCCUAAUUAUUCGGGCGUCACAAAAGCGUUAGGGCCUAUUUUGAUGAAGGAAAAAACAUAAGAUUUUUUUUCUAUAGUAACAUCAUUCAGUCAUUUCAAUCAAAGGAAUGAGUCACAAAUAAAAUGGAGGAAUUAUUUCUUUGAUUUGAAUUUCAUAGAGAUAAACAUGGGAAUUUUAUAAACCACUCAGACCUCUUUAUGAGAUUCCUUAACCAUCAUCGCACAUGUCAUGACAUCAUCAUUAAUGCAAGGAACAGCAGAAGCAAGUCUGGAAAGAUAACAAUGAAGAUAGCUACACUCUACUGAGUUACACGCCCUUGGUCAUGCCGAUCAUCGGAGCAAAUUAAGGUAUUUUUGGUUGUUGCUUUCUGAUAGCGUGAAGGCAAGUCAUAAGCAACCAAAGCAUUAUUGGUUAUCAACCUGAAGACACAAAGGCUCUCUAAUGUUUAGAAAUGAUCUCAUCAAUAAACGUUCUUUUGCAUGCUAACAAGAAAUUUGGACGCAAUCUUGUAUAAGAUGUUGCAUAAGUUGAUGGGGCAGAAAAAUCCUUUUAGUGAUGGACACCACUAUGUAGUGGCCCCCUCCCAUCAUUCUCUUGCAUGCAACAAUGACACAUAAACAUGACAUCGGUUAAAGGUUCUUUCAAAUUUGAAUUUUAAAAAAGAUUUGUUUCCUAAACUGUCAACCUGAUUGAUGAUUCAAUUUCAACUAUACUCUCUCAUUGUGAGAUCUUAGAAGGUAUAUCCCUUGUCUGCAUGUUUUGACAAAAUAAUUGUCGAUACUUGCCAGAUUAGUGUCACUUACUUGGCAUGCUAUUGGCCAGUUAGUUUGCAAUGUAAAUUAAUGUAAUUGUCAGAUUGCUAAACAUUGAUAUACGUGUCUAAAAGUCUUGCUUCAUGGUACUUGUGUAGGUUGAUACCUCUUCUUACUUCCUCUUAACUCUUGAAUACUCAUUAAGAAAAAGAGUGUCCCCCCUAUAUUAUAAAGCAUCCAUCACCGAUUACAACCAAGAGCCGAUACAAACACACACCACCACUACACACACCAUGCACCCAAGGCAAGAACACACACCCAGGGCGAGAUACAAGGGUGCCGGGCACCGACACACUACUCCAACUAAAGAUGAGCAAAGAGGCAUCGCCUUGAGCCGACGGAGAUCACCAUGAGCAACCACCGAGGAGAGGUGAGACGACCGAGGAAGGAGCAAGGACUCCAAAACGGUGCCUCCAACAAGGGCACGGCCAUUGCCGCCAUCGUCCGAUCACGCAGAUCAGGCUUUCACCUGGAGUAACCCGAAGGGAAAGGGAGCACCAUUAUAGAGCCUGCAGGGAGGAAACGACGACCGCGGACGCCGCCACCGUCGGCCAGUACGAGGACUGGGCAAGUGAUGUACCCCGGUGCACCAACCCUUCGGCAUCCCCUGCUCCGCCAACCACCCACAUCCAUGCUGCCCGCGCGGCCAUGUCUGCUCGGCCACACCCGAACUGCGCAAUCUGCCCAAGAUCCACGCACCUCCCACCGCCAGGGUCGCCGCCCAGCAUCCAGACCGUCCCGGCACCCUCAAAGGAGAUGGCUUUGGACGGAGCCAACUCCCACCAUCACCGCAACCGGCAACGAACAUCCCGCCUCGGACAUCGCAUGGGACAACAGCCAUGAAGCAUCAGGCCGGGGAAAGGGGAAGGGGAGGUGCGCCACUCGGCCACUCCCGGCACCCAUGGUGCUAGUGACGGCGGCUCGACCACGUUGAAGCCCCAUCCCUCCAACAACGCUUCCCCCCCCCCCCGAAGCACCUGCUUCGCCCCGGCCCUGCUAUUGGCACAGCCCAACGCGAGGCCACCGACGGCCGCUCGUCCGACAAAGGAGGGAGAAGAUCCACCGCCGCCGCCAAGGAGGGAUCAGGGACAGCCCGCCCGCGCCGCGCGCUGCCGAUCACAUCCGAGAAGGUCGCCUAACUGUACCUCGGAGCCCGCACGCGCCACCACCACCGCCACCCCUAUGCACGGCGGCGCGAGCCGCCCGCGGCCCUGCUGCACCCAGCCCGCGCCAUCGGAGGCAGAUCCGGCCNNNNNNNNNNNNNNNNNNNNNNNNNNNNNNNNNNNNNNNNNNNNNNNNNNNNNNNNNNNNNNNNNNNNNNNNNNNNNNNNNNNNNNNNNNNNNNNNNNNNNNNNNNNNNNNNNNNNNNNNNNNNNNNNNNNNNNNNNNNNNNNNNNNNNNNNNNNNNNNNNNNNNNNNNNNNNNNNNNNNNNNNNNNNNNNNNNNNNNNNNNNNNNNNNNNNNNNNNNNNNNNNNNNNNNNNNNNNNNNNNNNNNNNNNNNNNNNNNNNNNNNNNNNNNNNNNNNNNNNNNNNNNNNNNNNNNNNNNNNNNNNNNNNNNNNNNNNNNNNNNNNNNNNNNNNNNNNNNNNNNNNNNNNNNNNNNNNNNNNNNNNNNNNNNNNNNNNNNNNNNNNNNNNNNNNCGCGCCGCCGCCCCCGCGCAAGGCCGGCGCCUGCGCCCGAUCCUGCCGUCAGGCUCCGGCCCACCAUGGAAGAGCGCAUGGGAGAGGAGAGCCCCGUUGCCACCAACGCUGGCCGGGCUUUGCCCGGCGGCGCCGGGGGAGGAGUGACGGGGAGGGGAGGGAAUUUGGGUGGAGGCUAGGGUUGCCCCCCGGGCCGCUCGCGGGAGCGACCGGGAGGGAAGGGGGUGUCACGUGGGUAUCGAAUACUCAUUCUCUACGGCUCUACAUAACAUUGUAAUGUUUAAAAAUAUACAAAACUAGAUACCCCGUGCGUUGCUGCGGGAUUUUUUUAGCAUACAAUGGUAGAAGUUAAAUUCAAUAAAAUUGUAGUACAAAUAUUUAAUAGUAGUAAUAACCAAAAAAUAGAUAGUAGUAAAGAAUUUUUAUUUUUGCAAGGAAGAAAGAAAAUUCAGUACAAAUAUAAAUAAACCAAUGAAGGAAAAUUAAUGACGAAAGAAAUUGAAACAUGUCCUAGUUAGAUUGCUUAACAUUUCUUGGUUAGGAGGCAAGAAUUUAACAUAUUUUUCUUGAGUAUACCAAUUAGAUUCGUAGCUAAGUUUGUAUGAUAUGCAUGUAUCUCUUAGCUAGGGUCCAUUGGCUACGUAGCUUAGGGUAAUUAGCAAGGAACUAAUCAUGCGUGCGGAUGCUAGUACCAGCGACGACAUACACAGACGCGUAAUAGUAGUGGCAUGGCCUCUUGUAAUUAUAAUCUCUGCCUUCUAUAAAAAUAUGAUAUGCUAUUGGCGUACUCUUGAAAAUAAAUAGUAGUGGCAUGCAAGCAAGCGCAGCACUCUCGCUGGUGAGGCUGCCGGAGAUCGUCGUGAUGCAGAUCCUGGAGAGCAUUGCGACCUCUUGCGCCGCCGCGUGCAAGUGCUGACGCACCCUUGCCACCGAGCCGUCCUUCCUUGUCUGCCGCUGGCUAGGGGGCGCCUACCAAUGCUCCUCCCUUUCGGCUUCCUCGUCCGGGAGCAGCGCCAUGGCUGGGAAGUUCUGCCUGGCUCGAGCUUCGUCCACGCGCCGCUGUAGGUGCUCUGCCCCGGCCGUUCCUUGAUCGGCUCCUUCGUCCAAGCCUCGCCAGCCUCUUCGACGACCACGUCAUGCAUGCCACUCGCGUCGGCGUCCUCCUCGAGUGCUUCGGCGGCGGUGAUGAGUCGGAGCCUGGCGUCUCCGGCCGCCCCGUCAGCAAAGUUCUCUCCGGCUCCUGCCACAUACUCAAGGAGAAAAGAACAUAGGUGUAUCGGUGUUUUUCCUUUCCGCUAGGCCUGGUUUUUUCCACUUCUUGGACAGGAGUGUGCGCGUGCAUGUACCGGACGCCGGCAGAACCUCGGCAGACAACGGGGACUACAGAACACACAUACACAAACAAACUUGGGUCAACAGCACACCAGAUAAACGCCGCGGUGCUUGGCUGCAAUUGGGAAGAACAAAUCCGACCACCACGAGCUUGAGGCCGUCUACAUCGGCAAGGAUUAAGCGCCAGUCGACAGUUAGGUGUGAAGGUCCCCGGGAGCUUCCCAAGAUGAUGGACGCAAACAACUUGACGCACAUGGGGCAGCGGGCGCUCGGCUCGAUCAGGUCGAUCCACAGUUAUAUCAAGGAGAGAUUGGAAGAAGAGAAGACAUGCUUCCAAUGAAAGGGGAAAUGACUCCAAUAAACACACGUAAUGGUAGGUAUUAAAAUAGUUGCAUUGAUAAACGCCUAGUGGCCAACGUGGAUGCAUGGGAAAGAUCGUUCCUAUUCUGCCGAUGGAGAGAAAAAUCGGUUCACACCUGAGAGAAAGAGAGAGCUCAGAUGCAUGGAAUGCAUGAGUGGGUGAAAAAUUACUGACAUGGCACAAAGCUGAGGUGGACAACAUGUUUGAGAGAAUGCCUUGUAGUGGGGAGCACCUUCUUAAAAUGUAGAUUACUGUUUGGACUUUUUUUAAAAAAAGGAGGGGGACCCCGGCCUCUGCAUCUGGGCGAUGCAUACGGCCACUUUAUUAAUUAUUCUUAUAAGAUCUUACAAAGUGAUACAAUAGUAAGACUAAAGCCACCGUCUAUGCAACAACUGUCGCUACUCCUAUCCAAUUGAUGAAGGGGCGCUGAUAGUCUGGGCCUAAUACCAAACAGAUAUCGCAACCAAACCUAAACAUCUAAGACCAGAGGUCCCAACCAGGACGCCUGCCGGGUAUGGGGCACCUACCAGUCCGGCGCACUCCUCAACCAGGACGCCUGCCGGGUAUGAGGCCGCCGCAGCCACCUGCCACCAAUCCAUCUUCAGUGUGUACUGCUGCACCAUCUUGUCCGGCCUCUCUGCCAUCGACGCCACCACGGCGCUUGAUAACGGCACCCUCCUGCGCGAGUCCCUCGCCACACAUCGGGCGCCGAGUCUCCACCGUGCCACGCCGCCGAGAAACGCCACCAUUAAUGUGCAGGAUGAAGCACCGCUCCAUCAAUUAUUCCGUCCACUGGUCCCUCGAGCCUGUGUACACCUCCAAGAAUGACGCCACAAGAGGAAAACGACACAAUAAUGCCGCCGUCAUCCGAUCUACUGAUCUAGGGUUUCCCCCGGAGGUAGCAGAUAGUGGCCUGGAACUUCUCAACAGCGAUGCCUUCAACAAGGGAACGACACCGAAAAGUGCCGCCAUCGCCGGCCUCGGCAGCAGCCGCGAGCAGGUCUUCACCCAGAUAUGUUCCAAUGGCCUCCAUCGAGCGUCUUGUGCACGGAUCGUCCACCACCACGGCCGCUGCAUCGCCCGUCUCGAGACCACAGCCACCGACACAACCUCCACCGUCUGGGGCCGCCUCCCCGAGAUCCAGCCCUCGCUGGCCGCCAGAGCGAAACCAACGAGCCCCAUCAGUGGCGGCGCAGCCGCAUACCGCGCCGCGAGAACGCCACCAUAGCAUCGUCGCGCCGACCGCACGCCGCCGCCAGGAGCACCCGCUGCCAUGCCGUCGUGCCCCACGCUAGCCCAGCGCCUUCCAUCGAUCUAGCCGUCCCGUGUCAGCCAAACGACGAAGGGGAGAGGCGUCCCGCCGCCGCCCACGCCAGGCAGGCUUCACCGGCCGGCGCGCCUAGGCGGCGGCGAGGGGACUGGAGGAAGAGUGGGGACGGAUACCGGCGGCGGCGGAAGGCCUUCCCUGUUGCCCGCGGUAGCGGCAGAGGAGGUCGAUCCACUUUUUUCGGGAGGAGCGUACUAGACACUAUAUUUGUGGCAACUAUUCCGUAUUAAGAUGACAACUAUGAUCACAUAAUUUGGCAACUAGUGGUGACAAAUAGAGAGGUAAUAUCACCAGUGAUACUUAAACUUGUCAAUAAUGUACACUUUAGUGCAUGAACUUGAAAAAUACACCGAACUGGUUCUAGAACUUGAUAUGGGCGUGCAAAUACGGUCAUAAUCUCAUCAAUAGACGUAUAAUGCACGGACAUUGUAUUGUAUUUUAAUUAGCAUGCACACUUGGCAUGGGGCCUACUUCCUACAAAUGGCUUAUUUUAUAUGUCUGCAUGACCAGUGGGCCCCAAAUGUUAGAAUUCACUACACCACAAACACUUGAUUGGAGACAGUUAACUGCUGGGGAAAUACCUGAUCAAGAGCAAAGAAACUGUCGGGACAUCCGUUUCUACCAGUACAAGCAACUCAGGGCAGAGAAACUGCCGGGGGAACUUAACCAACGACGACACUUGCACUGCCGGUACACCUGAGGGCCCAUUGUCUGACGUUACAACUAAAGCACCAAACAUACCUUUCUACACCCAGGAGCAUUUGCUCCUGGUGUGAGUAGUACAAUAAAAAAUUCAAAAAUUAUUCAAAAAAUACUGAAUUUUUUUGGGACAUACUUUCGCAAAUGUUUGUCAUUCAUGCAAAAUUUCAUGCAAGUCGUGCAAGUCGUGCCAAAAAAACAAAAUCAAAGCUCCAAAAUGUUGGGAGAAACACUGUCCCGACAGUUUGUUUGCCCUUAUAAGUGCCUUUUCCUGGCAGUUUUCUUGUCCUUGCAUCAGUGUUGUGGUCUAGUAGUUAUGGCUUACUUUAUAUAUGUACUUAUAACCAGUGGGCCCCACAUGUCAGAGUUAAGGAACAUCAAUGAUAAAAAGUGCCGCCGGAAAUCAAACUUGCAAUGUGGUCCGUGCAAACAACCAAAGCUAACCACAAGACCACUCAUGUUUUGUUGCCCAACAAGGAUAAUGACACAAUAUAUUAUAAGUGAACACGCCCGUGUGUUUUAAAUGGCUGCAGUAUGUGCUCCCAUGUUGCACAUGUUAGCUUUCUUUAAUUUUUUAAAAUUUACAAAUAGUAUGUAAAUUAUAAUGAUAAUAAUAAAAAUAAAUUUCAAACAUUUGUAUGUUAUAUAUAUUAUACAUCUAAAAAGUAACUUAUUUAAUAAAAUGUUCAAAUAAUUUCAAAAAGUAUUGGUGUAUUAUUUUUGGAAAAAUCACAUAAAUANNNNNNNNNNNNNNNNNNNNNNNNNNNNNNNNNNNNNNNNNNNNNNNNNNNNNNNNNNNNNNNNNNNNNNNNNNNNNNNNNNNNNNNNNNNNNNNNNNNNNNNNNNNNNNNNNNNNNNNNNNNNNNNNNNNNNNNNNNNNNNNNNNNNNNNNNNNNNNNNNNNNNNNNNNNNNNNNNNNNNNNNNNNNNNNNNNNNNNNNNNNNNNNNNNNNNNNNNNNNNNNNNNNNNNNNNNNNNNNNNNNNNNNNNNNNNNNNNNNNNNNNNNNNNNNNNNNNNNNNNNNNNNNNNNNNNNNNNNNNNNNNNNNNNNNNNNNNNNNNNNNNNNNNNNNNNNNNNNNNNUAUAUCCCACGAGCGGAAGUUAUCACAAGUGAUUGUUAAUAUAAAUGUAUGUAUCCAUAAUUUUGUAUAAUUUAAAUAUAAGCCAUGAGGUACAGUUUUUUUACAUUUACUACAAUUAAUAAAUUUAUAUUUACUAAAUGUUUCAAAUAUAAUCCACAUGUAAAUAAGUGAAUAUUUUAUUUUAUUUGUCCCUAAAAUGUUUAUAACACACGCAUAUUAUAAAUUACUUUUAUUUCUGUGAUUAUAAUUUACAAAUUAAAAAAAGAAGCUAACAUGUGCAAAUGGGCUACACGGACAUGUAAAACCCACAAACGUAUUCCUACACAGGAUAUUAAAUGUCGUUAUUGUUUUUGGACAUGAAAAUAUGAAUGGUGCUUUGGCUAGGCCAGGUGCUUUUGCUACACUACAAUUUUUAUCUUUCAUUUCUCAUCAUGCUGACAUAUGCGGCUCACUAGUCAUGUAGACACAUAUAACGCAAAUCAUCUAUUGGAAGUGGGUCCCAUGCCCCAUAUGCAUGACAAUUAAAAUAUUGUCCCAUGUCAGCGCAUUAUACGUCUAUGGAUGAGAUUAUCAUCACAUUUCUCAUCAUGUUAGACGUAUUUUUCAAGUUUAGACACUAAAGUGAGCAUCAGUGACAAGUUUAAACACCACUGGUGAUAUUACCUCACAAAUAAAACACUAGAGCAUGUCAACAUGUGAUCUCGAUUCAAAGCCUUUGCCGAAGCAAACCCACUAGUGAAGACGGGUCAGUAAUUGGAUGAAUGGUUUAUGAGACAAAUCAUUCUAAUUUCAAAAAUAACAAUUAGUGUUACGAGUCCCACUUUGGUACACCCCCUCACAAAAUGUAUAAAGGGUAGUAUGGACUUUUCACAAAUUGUACUUACUUUCCUAUGUAGUAGAAAGUAUAUGUUGUAGGUUCCUAUAAUACCCCGGCGAACAGCCACCUUGAAGGUCCGCAAAGCUGCAUAUCAGCGAUGGAGCCGCGUCGAGCUCAGGUGAGGAGGUGAGCCGUCAUUCGUUUUUUCGGUGGCUGCCAUGAUGGUGCCGGAGGCAGGUAACGGGCGUUGGUGUCAAGCUCAGAGAUGUUCUUCUAUCUUUUCAGUUUUGUCAUGUCGGUCCUUACGUGACUUGUACUUUAAUUUUUAUAAUAUGAAUGAGACAUGUAUUACCAUGAAAAAAACAGCCCUCCCACAUGAAAUCAGCCCAUUUAGGUUUUCUAGUUUCAAAAAACAAAAAAUGGAUGUCCUCGGCGGAUUUGAACUACUGCCCCCGCGCACUACGUGUAACCGCACAAACCGUCUGGGAUAGCAUCUCUCAUUAGCCUACAAAUCUUGUUUUCUUCUUCUUGUGCGAGAGACAUAACGCCAAGAAAAAAAGACACCUUCACUCUUUCGUUUAGCUUUCUUUCUUUUUUUGCAUGGUUUUUGUUAGGGUUUUUAGUUUCCUGUUUUGUUCUUAAAAUACUAAUAUUUGUAGUUUUUUAAUAUUAUUCUUAAUUUUUUUAAAAUCAUGCCUUUCAAACUUGCUCAGAAUGUCAAAACACGAACAGUUUAAAAAAAGAACAAAAUUUUGAACAUGGACAUUUUUGAAAAAAAGUAACAAAUUUGGAAUUCCGAAAAAACAGAAAAAUAUGAACAAAAUUUGAAUUCUGAAAAAGUUAAAUUUAUGAGAAAUAGAAACAAUAAAUAGAAUAAACAAAAAGUCAAAGAAGACAAAAAAAUAAACAAGAGAGAAGAUAAAAGGAAAAAGAAAAAACAUGGUUCACGACCUCCAAGAAGGUCCCAAAACCGGAAACAAUGGCUGGGAAGCUGAGGUUCGAAAAAACGAGAAUUUUUUUUGCAAAUUUCCUUAGUAAUUUUUUUUAAAAAAAUUUGUUAAAAUUUUCAAAUCCACGAAUAUUUUGUAAAAAAUUGAUGAACUUUUUCCAAAUCAGCUCUUGGACCGGCCCAACAUGUGUCUAGUAGAGUAUCAUCGCCUAGUUGGGCCAAGGCCUAAGCGUUUUAUUUUAUUUUCUAUUUUUUAAUUUUAUUUCUUAUUUUGUUAAUUCAUUUUUAUCUUUUUUGAAUACGAAAAUACAAGUUUUAACUAACUUUUUAAACUAAUGAUUUUAAAUUCUUUUUUAUGAAAUAUUUAUUAAAUGCUUUUAGAAAAACACUUACUGUUUUCAAUUUUAUCCUUUUGUAUUUAUUAGUUGGGGUCAUUUUAAGGAUGUCUAAAAAACACCAUGUUCAACGGAGAUUAUUCGAUAAGGUCAGAAUGGUUCGUCUGAGAGCAUGUUAUUUUUCAACAUCUUUGAAAUGGCCCCAAUUUCCCCAGCAAAAAAGAAGAAGAAAUGGACCCGGUUUUUUCCAUGGCCUUCUAUGAGCAAUUCAAGGCACCAUGCCAAGUUGAUUUGGUAUUCGACAAAUUCUGCAUUUUCUGGAGUGUUCUUAGUAAAAGAAGACCGAUAAAAUGGGCGAACAUGUCGCAACUUGCAUACAGUGUUGGAAAUUGUUAGACCUAGCAUGGUUGCCUACCAUGGGUAUGCCCAUCCCUGUGCAUUAUUCAUUGAACAUGGUCUAGUUUUGAAUAUUUUUUAAAUGACUCCAACUUUUGCAGGCAAGGGGACAUACCCAUGGUAAGGAUCCAUGUCAGGUUCGAACGAUUUCCAACAAAAUAUGCAAGUUGCGACACGUCCCGCAUUUAUCUGCCUUUUUUAACUGAGAAAAGAUCAAAUUUGUUGAAAACCAAGACAACUUGGCAUGGUGUGUUUAAUCGGUCGUAUAAGAUCAUGAAAAGAUUUUGGGUGAGUUAAUGGAUGCCGCAAAAGCAUGCUCUCAAAUGGAUCCUUCUCGCCUACCCGAACACCCUCCGUUGAACAUGAUCUAUUUUUCGACAUGCAUGAAAUGACCCCAACUUAUUCCAGUAGGUGAGAAUGCCCAUAGUAGGCAUCCAUGCUAGGUUUGAACAAAUUCCCCACACCGUAUGCAAGUUGUGUCACGUCUGGCCAUUUAUCGACCUAUUUUUACCGAGAAAACUCCAGAAAAUGUAAAAAUUAUCGAAAACUCAAACAACUUGCCAUGGUGCCUUGAUUUGAUCAUAGAAUGAGGUGGAAAUUUUUUGAGGCCAUUUGAAGGAUGUUGAGAGACAACAUACCCUCAAGCGGAGCCUUCUGGCUAACCCGAACACCCUUCACUGAACAUGGUCUACUUUUAGACAUUCUUGAAAUGACCCUAAAUUUUUCAAGCACGUGGGCAUGACCAUGGUAGUCAUCCAUGCCAAGUUUGAACGAUUUCUGACACCGUAUGCAAGUUGCGACACGUCCGCCCAUUUAUUGGGCGUUUUUGACCGAGGAAACUCUGAAAAUGCAAAACUUGUCAAAAACCAAAACAACUUGGCAUGGUGCAUUGAAUUGGUCAUACAAGGCAUGACAAAAAAUUGGGGUCAUUUCAAGCAUGUCGGGAAACGACGUGCUCUUAGACGGAGCCAUCUCGCCUACUUGAACACCUCCGUUGGUCAUGGUCUAUGUUUUUCUUUUUACAUCUUUUGUAGUGCGUCAAAUAUAACGCUAAAAAGAAAGACACUGGUUUUCCUUUUCAACCAGGCUGGUUUUUUCUUCGGUUUUUACAUGAUUUUUUAUAUUAUUUUGUUUUUCUUUUCUUUUUUCUAUUUCUUUUAUUGAUUUUGAAAAAAGUUCAUCUAAAAUUCAAAAUAAGUUCAUCGAUUUUGAAAGAAAAGUUUAUUGAUUUUGAAAAAAAAUCACAAAUUUGAAAAAAAAAAUCAUUGGUUUAGAAACAAAGUUCAUCAAUUUUAUAAAAAAGUUCAACAAUUUUCAAAAACAAAUCACCAAUUUGCAAAAUAGUUCAUGAAUUUGUGAAAAAGACUAACCAAUUUUGGAAAAAAAAGUUCAUUGAUUUGGAAGAAAAAAAUCAGGAAUUUGAAAUUUUGUCGUCAUUUAAAAAAACAUGAAUUAUAAAAAGUUCACGCAUUUAAGAAACAAAAAGAAAAUGUUGCGUUUUUCCAGUGUUCUAUUUCAAGUAUAAGAAAACAUACUUAACACCUUAGGUCUGGUUGCUCCAUUGGUUAAGGCGGAUGUGCUAAUUGCUGAACGAUCUUGGUACGAAUCUUGCAGCAUGCACCUUUUUUGUGGUUCAUGUACAGUGUAUAGAUGAAGAGUUUAUAAAAUAUGACUAUCAUACCCUUACUUAUGAAAAGAAGCAGAAGUGUUAGUGUGAUGAUGUCAGUCUGAUAUGUAUGAUUCUUACCUGCAAGCAUGUGCUCUUCAUAUAGGCAACAUCCCAUUGGGAUGCCGCACCACCAGAAUGAAUGUGUGCAUACAUGUGUGUUUUUCUUUAUUGUUUGGGUUGUUUUCCUUUGAGAUCGCAACAAUGGUAGAGUCGAACAACUCCUUGAGAAUUAUAUCUCCUACCAAGAAACCGCUAAUAAUUGUAGAAAUUCCCUCUUUAAAAGCGUUUCUAAUGGGUCUAUUAGAAAGGCGUCGGGGAACCGUUAGGUCCUAGUGCCUUCAUGGGCUCCUUCUCUGAUCUCCUCGACAGAAUACGUCUUACACUGGUCUCCAUUCAUAUCAUCACUGACUAUGUAGGAGAGUGAGAGCUCCUUGUGAGCACUGCAUAUCUUACAAAUAAUAUUACAAAUAAUAUUGAAAAGAUUGGGUAAAAAAAAAGAGAGAAAUGGUCAAUCAAGACAACGAGCGUACGGGAGAGCAAAUACAACCGACCGCCGGCCGUUGCUUCUCCUAUUACCCCCUUGGUCCCGAAUUAGACAAUUGAUUCAGGACGAAGGUAAUAUUAUCUAACUUAUUAGUAUCCGUACGUGCGUCUUAUGACACGAUCUUAGUUGCGAGGUCGAUCGAUGCAUGGGUGAAUCUCAGUAGGUCGCCUCUGGCUUGUAGGUGGAGCCGCACUUGAAAUCUGUGGGGAUGACGUCGUCGAAGACGUUGCGCUGGCCCUUCUCGGUCUCGUAGCGGAAGCUGUAGGGGCCCUCGAGGGGCU
rnacentral:lncRNA from 1 species